rnacentral:lncRNA from 1 species
UAGUUCAUAUGAGCAUGAAUAUUGGAGCUAAAAUUUGGUGCCAUGACUUUGGGGAUUUUCGGCCAAAUCCUAAGGGUGGAUUUUUGGGUUCUUGUUUGACUUGUUAAAAGUGUUUUAAGGUGACUUUUGGAACCCCUAUGUACCCUAGUUUGGUUAGAUGUUAUUUUCCUAAAGUUUGAAUGGUUUUGGAAUGUUUUUGGGUGAAAAAUGUUCAUGGAAAAUUUUGAGUUUUUUCAUGAAUGUUCUUCAUUGUUCUUGACAUUUUUUUGCCAAGAACAAAAAGGUUUGUGUGUUUUGAUUCAAAGUUUUGAUUUAUUUCAUAAAGUCUUUGUUUUGUGCUUUAUCAAAUGUUUUAAUGUGAUAGAAAUUGUGUAAGGUGAUGGAAAUGAUGAUAGGUGUGUAAGAAGUACUUCUCUUACACACACAUCACUUGCAUGACUUUAAGUCACAUACCACUUGCAUGAAUUUAUGUCACAAAUUCCACUUGCAAGGCUUUAUGAAAUUGUUGAAAAAAUUUCCAAAUUUUUGUGGACUUAUCUCCACUCCCUUUCCCUCUCUAAAAACCGGCCCUCCCUCAAUUGGAGUACUUUUGGGUCUUUUAUGCAAUUACAUAAAGUUUUGAUACUUUUGUGUAUUUUCACUUUGUCCCAAAAGUUUACGUUUUUACGUUUAGGUCCAAAAACGCUAAAGGACAAAUUGUUUUGCUCCUUUAAUGAAGUUUUUGCAUUGAUUAAAUUUUGGGUUCUAGUGUAAUUACAUGAAGUAGUGGACUUUUGUGUCUUUACAAAGUGACCCUAAAAGUUUAGCAAUAUAGCCCAAAAGUUGAGGUUAAUUGCUUUAUGGCCCAAUAAGUUGUGGUUAUUGCAUAUUGGCCCAAAUUAGAUAGAGAACAAAAUUGUUUUGUCUCUUUAAAUGAGAAUUGGAUUUUCAUUUUGUUUAGCUCCAUUUAAAUCAAUUUUAUGGAUACAAAAACCAAAUGAAAAUGUUGCAUUCAAUUUAAUUAGUUAAAGUGUUAAUUAAUUAAAGGGUGAUUAUGAACCUAAGCCUAAUAUAAUUGAGCUAUGUGAUAGGCCGUUUCAAAUUUGUUUGAACCAUGGGAAUGUGUAGAUUAGAUUUUGGUUGUAAUUUGAUUUGAUCAAAUGUUGUAAAAGGGCUUAAGCUCUUCUUUACUUUAAAGUAAUUUGUUUUAUGCAAAGGUUCAUAGUCAUCCUAAGGCCCUAAGGCAACUAUAUAGUCCAUCAAAUGAAUGCAAAGGUUAUGUUAGUAGUAUAAUAUACUCUUGCUUUAAAAACGUUUUAUAAGCAUAGUGGGAGUAUUAUAUACAACUAAAAACAAUCAUAUGGACCAAUAGUUGUAAUAGGACCAAAAUUGUUUUAAUAGAGAUUAAAAUGUAUGAUUAUAUGUGAUGAGACCUAAAACCCUCAACCAAACCAUUAUUAAGUUGAUAAGCGUGAGAGUGCUUUGAACACUCUUUCGUGGCCUUCCACCGUGGUAGGCUCCGAUCGUAUGUGACUCGUACACCGGCUUCACCCUAUAAUGGGGGAGUACAAAGUGCGUGCUUACACUCAGGAGGAGUUCUAUAUACAUACAUGAUGAAGUGAGGUAGGCAACGAGUUUAGCCAACAUGAUAUAAUUCUGAGGCUAUGCUUGAACCCCUACACGAACUAGGCAUGGUGGGAAUGACUUAACUAAGUGCAAUGACGCCAACAUGAUAUAAUUCUGAGGCAUCAUUCUCUAGAGGCCAAAAUAAGAUGGGUACUUGCAAGAGAUGCAAAUGAGUAAGCGUACUCUCUCAUUAUUAUUAACGCUAGCCAACAUGAUAUAAUUCUGAGGUGGGCUUGGUAAUAGUGAGUCUCCCAUACCCCUACUAAGAGUUUCAUCCAAAACUCUCGAAUUCCAAUGAGGGAUAUGGAAUUUGCCAAAAAAUAGUGGGUGGUGCUAUUUGAUUUAAAGACCCGAAUCAAAUGGCUUAAAAAUCAAUCAAUUUAUAUUCGUUAUGUAUUUGUUUACCAAUAUAUUUUGCAAACGCUAUCCAACACUUGACAAAUAAAAGCCGAAAGUUUAGUUUCCGGACUUGGUACUACAAAACCAUAGAUUGUCUUUAAAUGGCUUGUAAAAUGUACCUAAGUAGUCUCAUCCUCACAAUCUUCCUAUUGAUAAUGUAUCAUUGGAAGAAAAUGUUAGAUAAAGGUCUAUCAUAAAGAGGACAACACUUUUAAUGUCAUAAUUCUUCAAUUACAAAUCGUUGUUGUAUGAAGAAAUAAGAGUUGCUUUUGAACAACCCUUAGUCAAUGCAAACACUUAGUGCUUGUUUCUUUGUUACAUGAACAAGGAACUUGAGAAGAAAGCACAAAGGCAUGGACACUUAAUGUGCCAUGAUUCUUCACUUACAAAUUGUUGUAUGAAGAAAUGAGAGUUGCCUUGUACAACUCUUGAAAGUUUGUAAUUAUGUUUAGAACAUAAUGGUUGGUUGACAAAAAUAGUCCAUCAACAUGGACUUAUGAUGAUUUUGAAUCAUUGAGUGUUGAAGUGAUAAACCACUUAACGAGACGGAAACUAGGCAAGGACUUCACCUUUGUUUCCCUAUCCUAAUGGUUCACUAAGUUUAUUGUAAACUAUGUAGUGAACAAUAACCACAAGCUCUCCAAAUUGUUUGAUGUGUAUAACACAAUUGAAAAAGGUUUCAAGAGAGAUAGUGGGAGUUUAGGGACCAUGACUAAUGUAGUCAAAGGUGAAAGUCAAAUAAAGAAGUUAAAAAUUAACUCCAAGGGAACAAACUUUCUUUAUGAAAGGAUGGACAUUGGAAGGGGUAUUUGCAAGAAAUGUCUUGCAAGUGUCAAGAACACGCCUUUCAAAGGUGUUGUAAAAUGUUCUUGAAUAGUUCAAAACAGUUGGUUCUUCUACUUGAAUGCUUGAUUCCGUAUUAGUAACUAUGUUUUACAAUCGUUGUAAAAGUGUGACUAAUAAGAAGUAGAAGAUAUAUGAGAGAAGGAAAAGGUACUUCACAUUCGGAACGUGAAUAAAAUAUAGAUCUUUGCGAAAGCAGAUAGUACUUACUUCCUCAUAUGAACUACCAAAGAAAUUGGAAAAACCAAAGAUUGUCUUUACAUUCCAAUUUUAAGGAAUUUAAUUCCGUCACUAUAGUAGAGAUGGAUGAAUGUUUUGUUUGACAAAACAUUGUUCUUUAUUAAUCAAUGAUUGGAUUAUGGUAAUCUAAUUGAUUGUCUCUAUAGUAGAGAUGAUAUGGUAGUGUUAACUGUUUAGAAUAUAAUGAUGCUUAAAACCCAAAAGGUUGCAAGGUAGUGACUAAUCCCAACUGAAGUUGUGAUACCUCUAAAACAUAAGUUACGAGUUGGUGAAAAAUGGAUGCUUUGGAUCGUUAGAUCCGGAUCCAAUACCUUCUUGUUAAAAAUUGUAUGGAGGCGAAAUGUUCGAAUCUUUAUUCUUUUGGAAAGAAGAAAGAAUCACAAAGUUGUUGAGGUUAAUUCACUUAGAUGUUAGUGGCACUUGUCCACAACAUAAUCAUACUCAUGUUAUAUGACAUUCACCGAAGAUCACUCUCGGUUGGACUAUAGUUUAUUUUGAAUAAACACAAGUCCGAAUACUUUGCAAAAUGUUUUUCAAAGAAUUCAAGAAAUGUAAGUUGAUGAGUAAGACAUCUAAAGUAUUUACCUCCUUAGAUUUGAUCCAAGGAAAAGUAACACUUUAGAUGAGUUUCCUUGAAAGAUAUCAAGGAAAUAAGCAUCAUAAGAUAAUAGAUUUCUCCAUAAGGAGAAGAACGAACUUAAAUAAGAUUUAGUUCGUUGGAUAUUAUCAAUUACCCAUAUAUAGGAUAUAUACUUCUAAAACAAUAUGAUUGUCAAUUAGAAGAUCUUCCAAAAUUUUCAUGACUCCAUAAGAUGUAGUUGGAAAGAAAGACAAAUCUUAAGCAUGUUAAGAUUUGGGGUUGUGUGCUAAUAAGCAAUAUUUGUUUGAUAACAAUCUUGUAGGAUAUCCUUAAAUUAACUUUUGGAUAUCGCUUCUAUAAACCAACUAACAAAUGUUGUUUUGUUGGGUAGUUCAUUGUAAUCCUACAAUGUGAUUUGCCUAAAAGCAAAUGAACGAGAGAUAGAACUCAAAGAAUGGGUUCUUUGAGAGACAAGAAAGUAAUCAACAAAUAUAAACAACCUAGUUCCUAUACCAAAAGCUCCAAGGUAGUCGAGAAGGAUUUAUAAACCGUCUCAGUUGAAUGGUUUGAACUUUAUGACUAUGUCAUAGAGUUACACCUCUUAAUUCGAAAGAAAUAAGAAUGAAAAUCCUUAUGACUACAUUGAGUGUAUAUACGAUAUAUACUCAAGGAAAUGGUAAAGUACCAUUUGACCCGAAAUAAUGAAACCUUCAUAAGCUAAUUGGUAGCUUAAGGUGACUACAAUCAAAGAGAAUGGUUGACUUUGAAGAAACCAUCUUUGACGUAGUCUUGGUUUCAAUUAAUUCGAAGAUAGCUAGCUACAACUAAAUGGUGAUUCAAUGUUUGGACAUAAUAUGGGUUUCCGAAACCAUUAUUAAGAUAGUCUUGAUAAUAUAUGUCUAAAACUAUAAAUCACAAGACAUGUAAGUUGUAGAGAUCCAUCCAUCAUGAAUCUUAGCAAGCUAGUGGGAGCUAUAAGCAUCUUAUGAGAAAAAGGAUCAAAUCGUUUGAUUUCUCAUAAAGAUGUAAAUGAAUCUUUUGUUUACUAGGUUUACAAAAGAUUAGUGGGAGUUAAUCAUGUUCCUAAAAUUUAAAUAUAUAUAUGAUAUAUUAAUUUUGGAAAUGAAAAGAAUACUUCUUCGUUAAAGUUAUGACUUUAAAACAUUAUAUGAAGAUAGAAUGUAUAUGGGAGACAUAGUCUAUAAACAUGGGAUGGAAAUCUAUAAUGAUAGAUUUUAGGAUAUAAUUGGAUUAUAUCAAGCCCUAAAUAAUAGACAAUGGAUGCUAGGAAGUUUCUCAUAUGAUGAUAAACUUCAAUUAGAAGGACAACUCUAGUGAGACUAAGCAAGUUGCUCUUCUCAAAGAGGAACGUACUCCUUUGACUCCCAAAGAAAUAAUGCGUAAAUAGAAUCCUUUAUGCAUACGCAGAAAGGUGAUUUAUGUAUUUCAUAUUGUAUGAAAAACAUUGAUAUGAGUUGUACCUAGAACGGUACAAGACGAUAUCAGUGCAAGCCCAGGAUCAGAACCAUGGCAACUGUCAAGUGAGUCCUUAAGUAUUUAAGAAAUACUAAAGGAUAGAUUCCUCAAAGAAUGAGGAAGAAUUAGAGUAACGUAAUGGAAGCGUAAAUGUAUUAGAUUAUGAAUCUAAUCCAUCAUUGGAUGUUUCUUCAUUAUGAAUGAAGAGAUAAACGAAUAUCUCUUUAUUAUGACUAAAGAGAUAUUUGGAUGGAAACAUUAAAGUAAUGACUUUAGUGUGUUCCAUUAUGAAUGCAAAAUAUAUUGCCAUAUAGAAGCUUUACAACAAUGUUGUUUGGAUGGGAAAGUUCAUUUAUGAACUCUCUAUUCGGUUCCAACCAGAAAGUGUAUCUAGUGUACUGACACUAUGACACUAAUGGGGCGAUAGCUCAAGCCAGGGAAUCAAGGUCUCAUCAAGAUCCGAACUCAAAUGAGAGACUGAACCACAUGAUUGAGAAUCAUGUAUAAUGGUGACGUCGUUAUUCUCAAGGUUGCUUCUAUGGAUAACAUAUAGAUAUCCAUUGUCUAGGCCUACUACUCAGCCAUUUAUGAAAUGACUACAGAAGAGGUAUCAUCACUGAUGAACAAGCUGAUUGGCUCUAGUGCAAGUGGGAGAUUGUUGGAAAUGUGCCCUAAAGCCAAUCAUAUGAUGAUACUUUACGGACAUUUCACAUGUUAAACUAAUCUAGUUUAAUAUAAAGGGCAAAGAUUAUUGUUUGAGCCGUCUCAUAUAAAUGUUAUAUGCUUAAACGAUAAAGUCCAAGGAAUAUGUGAUUGGGAGAAUGCAAUCUAAUGAAGUUAGAUUCAUGAGACCAUUCUUUCGUAGACACAUCCUAAAUGUUCCUGAUCAUAGGAUUGUAAUUGGGCAUUGACAGUCCGUUAAGAUCGGUACGUACUGUGUCUUCUCUCAGGGAGAGUGACUAGUCUCGAGUCAUUGGUGUGUGUGACAUCAAGUCAAGUACGUAGGUGCUCAAUAGAGAAUGAGUUCACUGAACACGAUCAACGAAGAGUUCUCAUAUUCAUGUCACAUGAGAACUCAUGGUUGGGAUAAUGCAAAGUAGUCCUUUGACCUGAGGCAUCAUCGUUGUCUUGUGGUUAAGUCCUUGAUCUUUGAUUAUGUCAAACGUCAUUCCAUUGGAGUGUCCACGGCAUCGUUGGGGUUAAGCCACUUAGCCAUGGAGGCAAGUGAAUGCGCAACAAGGGAUCUCUAACCUUCAAACCGUUUGAGGGAGAAUACUCUAUGAUAUGAUUAGAAUCUCUGGCCAGAGUAUGAAUGAGAUUUAGGAAUGCGUUCCAAAUCACAUUCAAGGUAAUCAUAUAAGCACACGAAUCACAUUGGAUAGUAGACAUGAAUAAAUAAACUAUCAAACCAAACAAUGUGGUCAAGAGUAUUGUAUUAGAGAAAGACCGUAUUGCAUUUGUAAUCCUAAACUGAAUAGGUUCUCCACCUCUUCUGAUUAGCUUGGGUAACCAUGAUAUGCUGCUAGGUGUCACUCAUGGUUUGUGGAAGCCCUAAACGUGUGUAAUCACUAAAGGGAGAAUUGAAAGUAAGUUUCAAUUCACAAUCGAUGUAAAAUGGUUUUAAUCGCCCACUGCCUCGCUAAAAGGAACCUAAUGGAUCGUACACCGUGUAAGGUGGAGAUUGAAGAAACAUUGGAGAUGAGUAAGAAUAAUUAAAUGGUUUAAUUAUUUAUGGCAAGGAUUAAUUAAUAUGUUAAUUAAUCAAACGAAUAAGUUCGUUAAAGACCUCGGGAUAGUUUUGGACGUUUAGGGCCAAUGGGCUUCGAACGUCAAGCCCAUUGACUUAAGUUGUAAGACAACUUAAUUCACAAAAGCCCAAAAGCCCAAACAACACCCUAAGGCCGGCCAUAUGGUUAAGGGUAGUGAACUUGGACUUAUUUUACAAGUUUGCCACUCAAAUGAAUAAAGGUAUAAAUAUGACUUUAUAGCCAAAAUUCAUUAAGGGUUUGUUUUGGAGAAAAUUGGAGAGAACAUGUCUCUCCAUUUCUCUCUAAAGAGGCCGGCCCCUUGGAGGGUGCAUCUAGCAAUCCCACUACUCCAAGGUCACUCAUUUCUUCUCCAAUCUAACCUUGGUGAAGAGACUUAGAGGUUCUCUAUUUUGGGAACUUGGAGAAUCCUAUUCUUCCAUACAAAUCCAUAGAUUUAAUAUGCAAGGAAUGAAGGCCCUCUCUUUGGGUGAUUAGCCUUUGCUUAUGCAAAGAGGAAUCUACAAAGGUAUAAAUUUCAACUCACUUUGUUUUGAGUUGAGUCUUGGUUCACCAAUCUACUAGGCUUUGAAUUUCAUGGUUAAUGUUUUGUUUUUAAGUGCAUGCAAGCAUGAUUCCGCCUUUAAUUGUUAAUUGCAUGCUUAUUGAUGUUGCUUAAAUGAACAUGUUUUCACAAAAUAAUCCUUCAGGAAGGAAGUCCCAUAAUGGACAGAGUCGAAGAACAGGACAGGAAUGGCCUGUCUAAAUCCUAACUGCCUGCUGCAGAAGUUAGGAUGGUACACUUCCAGGCCUUGGUCAUAUCUAUUGCCCCGAACUUCCCAGGCCAGGUCUCUUGAUUGAAUGCAACUAAUAAAUUUCUCCAUGCAAAAGGGGGUAGCAUCCUCGCCAGGGUCAUCUUGAAAGACUUGGUCAGAAAACCAAGGAUAUCUUCUUAGGACCGACGCACCACAUUCUAAAUCUGACCAAGUCCUGCAAACUCUGAAAAAAUAGAAGCAAGCAAAAGUGGAAUGAUCUAUAGGGGUAGCUUCAGCCAGGAUUCGGGCAGAGGCCACACCCUCAGGGAACUCCAGAUUAGCAGCCCGAAAUUCCAGAAAAUACCAUUGAAGCCAAGUUUGUAUCAUCCAUAUUGGUCCAUUCAAAUUGGUCUCAAAUGGCUCACCUUGAGUCAUUUCAAAAAGAAGAUGAUAAAGGUGGGAAAGAAGGAAUGAACCUGUAGCUACUUCAUCAAAGUUGUGAAGAGCUUCUACCAAGGGGAUCCAUUCAACCCUCACCCCUUUGGAUUUGUUGGGGAAGAUGUGCUUGUUGAGCCAGUAUAAGAGGAAAUACAUGUGCUCCUGAUCUUUAUCUACCCGAGGUGAGCCCACCCCAAAAUUCUCCUUUACAAAGGGGAUGAAUCCUUUGAAGGAAGUCCCGUAACUCUUGAAGGUUGCCGAGUUAUAAUUCAAAGAGAGGAAGGCAGCGGAUGAACUUGAGCUUCCAGUGGCAGAGGACGGAACCCAUUCUUGAGUAACGUCCACUAUCCUGCCGGAGGGCCUUAAGCCGAAAACUUGAGCCAUGUCAAGAAUGGUGGGAGACAUGGGGCCCAUACGGAAGUCAAAGGUAUUUGUGCCCGAAUUCCAGAAAAGGAGGGCAGAAGCAAGCAGUUCGGGCUUGGGAAUAAUCGUGGUCUUCGAAAGCAUGAUUAACUCAUAAAUACCAUUAUUCAUCCAUUUCCUCUUAAAAGUAGGCUCUAAAUCAUCAAUCCAUUGAGCCCAGGCAGGAUCAUUCAUCAGAGGAAAACCCCGACGAUAUGAUGACCAUUUGGAGGAAGAGGUGCCCGACCUAGCCGAAUAGGGAUUUGGGGAAAACCAGUUAUCUCUAGGCAUGUUGCUCUCCACCACUGAGGGGACCCGAGAAAUCGAGGCGGGACCCAAUGAUUGUACCCUAUGCACCUCAAAGAAAAGCUCGGAGUGCAGACCUGCCCAAGGGCGAUGCAGCCCAUUGAGUAGACGACGAAGAGUGGCGAUUCCUUCGCCAGAUUCGUAAGAAGGUUGGGUUUGGCUAGAUUCCGCAGUCAUUUGAAGGAGUUCGAGAACGGAAUACCAAGGAAGAUGACGAGGGUGACAAAUUAGAGAAGGAUUUCUUGCUGUGAGUACAGGGGAUCGAGGAGUUCGACUGCAAGGGAUUCGUGGGUUUUAUAAAGAGCUUUUUCAAUCAAUAUUGGCGCCUGGAAUUCCAGGCUAAAUAUUGAUUGAAGGGGGCACUGUUUGGAUUAAAAGUUAACUUUGGGCUCAAGAAAGGAGUUGGCCCAAAAGGAAGCCCGAAAGGGAAAUAGCCGAAGCCAGUCGAAGCCCAGAAGGCAGGAGAAGGCCUUUUCUGACUUGGUGCAGUUCAUGAAGACCACUUGCUUACCUACCCAAAGGCCAAGUGGUGUAGACUGGUCAGCUACACAACCCAUGAAAGUACUUUAUGGUGGCAUUACAUGUAAAAUAGCUGAUGAGUCAUCACCCUCAAACCGCAUUCGGGCAAAGCUGCUGCUACCAAAGGCCAAGCCGAGUUGUCUAUAUAAGAAGAAAGAAAAUCAAGGAUUAAGGUGAAGGAUUAUUUUGCGAAAACAUGUUCAUUUAAGCAACAUCAUAUAGCAUGCAAUUAACAAUUAAAGGCGGAAUCAUGCUAGCAUGCACUUAAAAACAAAACAUUAACCAAGAAAUUCAAAGCCUAGUAGAUUGGUGAACCAAGACUCAACUCAAAUCAAAGUGAGUUCAGAAAUAUACCUUUGAAGAUUCCUCUUUGCAUAAGCAAAGGCUAAUCACCCAAAGAGAGGGCCUUCAUUCCUUGCAUCUAAAAUCUAUGGAUUUGGAUGGAUGAAUAGGUUUCUCCAAGUUCCCAAAAUAGGGAACCUCUAAGUCUCUUCACCAAGGAGAGAUUGGAGAAGAAAUGAGUGACCUUGGAGUAGUGGGAUUGCAAGAUGCACCCCCCAAGGUGGCCGGCCUCUUUAAAGAGAAAUGGAGGGACAUGUUCUAUCCAAUUUUCUCCAAAACAAACCCUAAUGAAUUUUAGGCUAUAAAGUCAUAUUUAUACCUUUAUUCAUUUGAGUGGCAAACUUGUAAAUAAGUCCAAGUUCACUACCCUUAGCAUCAUGGCCGGCCCUAGGGUAUUUUUGGGCUAAUUAGGCCUUUGUGAAUCAUUAUUCAUUAAGUUGUCAUACAACUUAAGUCAAUGGGCUUGACGUUCGAAGCCCAUUGGGCCUUAAUGUCCAAAACUAUCCCGAGGUCUUUAACGAACUUAUUCGUUUGAUUAAUUAACAUAUUAAUUAAUCCUUGCCAUAAAUAAAUGAUUAAACCAUUUAAUCAUUCUUACUCAUUCUCCAUUGUUUUUUCAAUCUCCACCUUACACGGUGUGCGAUCCAUUAGGUUCCUUUUAGCGAGGCAGUGGGCGAUUAAAACCAUUUUAUAUCGAUUGUGAAUUGAAACUUACUUUCAAUUCUCCCUUUAGUGAUUACACACGUUUAGGGCUUCCACAAACCAUGAGUGACACCUAGCAGCAUAUCAUGGUUACCCAAGCUAAUCAGAAGAGGUAGAGAAAACCUAUUCAGUUUGGGAUUACAAAUGCAAUACGGUCUUUCUCUAAUACUAAUACUCUUGACCACAUUGUUUGGUUUGAUAGUUUAUUUAUUCAUGUCUACUAUCCAAUGUGAUUCGUCUUGUGCUUAUAUGAUUACCUUGAAUGUGAUUUAGAACGACUUUUCUAAAUCUCAUUCAUACUCUGGCCAGAGAUUCUAAAUCAUAUCAUAGAGUAUUCUCCCUCAAACAGUUUUGAAGGUUAGAGAUCCCUUGUUGCGCAUUCACUUGCCUCCAUGGCUAAGUGGCUUAACCCCAACGAUGCCGUGGACACCCUCCUGAUGGAGUGACUUUGACAUAAUCAAAGAUCAAGGACUUAACCACAAGACAACUAUGAUGCCUCAGGUCAAAGGACUACUUUGCAUUAUCCCAACCAUGAGUUCUCAUGUGACAUGAGUAUGAGAACUCUUCGUUGAUCGCGUUCAGUGAACUCAUUCUCUACUUGAGCACCUACGUACUUGUCUUGAUGUCACACACACCAAUGACUCGAGACUAGUCACUCUCCCUGAGAGAAGACAUAGCACGUACCGAUCUUGACGGACUGUCAAUGCCCAAUUGGCAAUCCUAUGAUCAGGAACAUUUAGGAUGUGUCUACGAAAGAAUGGUCUCAUGAAUCUAACUUCAUUAGAUUACAUUCUCCCAAUCACAUAUUCCUUGGACUUUAUCGUUUAAGCAUAUAACAUUUAUAUGAGACGGCUCAAACAAUAAUCUUUGCCCUUUAUAUUAAAACUAGAUUAGUUUAACAUGUGAAAUGUCCGUAAAAGUAUCAUCACAUGAUUGGUUUUAGGGCACAUUUCCAACAAUCUCCCACUUGCACUAGAGCCAAUCAGCUUGGUCAUCAGUGAUGAUACCUCUUCUGUAGUCAUUUCAUAAAUGGCUGAAUAGUAGGCCUAGGCAAUGGAUAUCUAUAUGUUAUCCAUAGAAGCAACCUUGAGAAUAACGACGUCACCAUUAUAUACAUGAUUCUCAAUCAUGUGGUUCAGUCUCUCAUAUGAGUUCGGACCUUGAUGAGACCUUGAUUCCCUGGCUUGAGCUAUCGCCCCAUUAGUGUCAUAGUGUCGAUACACUAGAUACACUUUCUGGUUGGAACCGAAUAGAGAGUUCAUAAAUGAACUUUCCCAUCCAAACAACAUUGUUGUAAACUUCUAUAUGGCAAUAUAUCUUGCAUUCAUAAUGGAACACACUAAAGUCAUUACUUUAAUGUUUCCAUCCAAAUAUCUCUUUAGUCAUAAUAAAGAGAUAUCUGUUUAUCUCUUCAUUCAUAAUGAAGAAACAUCCAAUGAUGGAUUAGAUUCAUAAUCUAAUACAUUUACGCUUCCAUUACGUUACUCUAAUUCUUCCUCAUUCUUUGAGGAAUCUAUCCUUUAGUAUUUCUUAAAUACUUAAGGACUCACUUGACAGUUGCCAUGGUUCUGAUCCUGGGCUUGCACUGAUAUCGUCUUGUACCGUUCUAGGUACAACUCAUAUCAAUGUUUUUCAUACAAUAUGAAAUACAUAAAUCACCUUUAUGCGUAUGCAUAAAGGAUUCUAUUUACGCAUUAUUUCUUUGGGAGUCAAAGGGUACGUUCCCUUUGAGAAGGGCAACUUGCUAGUCUCACUAGAGUCAUCCUUCUAAUUGAAGUUUAUCAUCAUAUGAGAAACUUCCUAGCAUCUCUUUGUCUAUUAUUUAGGGAUUGAUAUAAUCCAAUUAUAUCCUAAAAUCUAUCAUUAUAGAUUUCCAUCCCAUGUAUAUAGACUAUGUCUCCCAUAUACAUUCUAUCGUUAUAUAGAAUGCUUAAAGUCAUAACUUUAACGAAGAAGUAUUCUUUUCAUUUCCAAAAUUAAUAUAUCAUAUAUAUAUUUUAUAUUUUAGGAACAUGAUUAACUCCCAUAAACAUUCUAUCUUCAUAUAAUGUUUUUAAAGUCAUAACUUUAACGAAGAAGUAUUUAUUUCAUUUCCAAAAUUAAUAUAUCAUAUAUACAUUUAAAUUUUAGGAACAUGAUUAACUCCCACUAAUCUUUUGUAAACCUAGUAAACAAAAGAUUCAUUUACAUCUUUAUGAGAAAUCAAACGAUUUGAUCCUUUUUCUCAUAAGAUGCUUAUAGCUCCCACUAGCUUGCUAAGAUCCAUGAUGGAUGGAUCUCUACAACUUACAUGUCUUGUGAUUCAUAGUUUUAGACAUAUAUUAUCAAGACUAUCUUAAUAAUGGUUUCGGAAACCCAUAUUAUGUCCAAACAUUGAAUCACCAUUUAGUUGUAGCUAGCAAUCUUCGAAUUAAUUGAAACUAAGACUACGUCAAAAAUGGUUCCUUCAAAGUCAACCAUUCUCUUUGAUUGUAGUCACCUUAAGCUACCAAUUAGCUAUGAAGGUUUCAUUAUUUCGGGUCAAAUGGUACUUUACCAUUUCCUUGAGUAUAUAUCAUAUAUACACUCAAUGUAGUCAUAAGGAUUUUCAUUCUUAUUUCUUUCGAAUUAAGAGGUGCAACUCUAUGACAUAGUCAUAAAGUUCAAACCAUUCAACUGAGACGGUUUAUAAAUCCUUCUCGACUACCUUGGAGCUUGUGGUAUAGGAACUAGGUUGUUAUAUUUGUUGAUUACUUUCUUGUCUCUCAAAGAACCCAUUCUUUGAGUUCUAUCUCUCGUUCAUUUGCUCUUAGGCAAAUCACAUUGUAGGAUUACAAUGAACUACCCAACAAAACAACAUUUGUUAGUUGGUUUAUAGAAGCGAUAUCCAAAAGUUAAUUUAAGGAUAUCCUACAAGAUUGUUAUCAAACAAAUAUUGCUUAUUAGCACACAACCCCAAAUCUUAACAUGCUUAAGAUUUGUCUUUCUUUCCAACUACAUCUUAUGGAGUCAUGAAAAAUUUGGAAGAUCUUCUAAUUGACAAUCAUAUUGUUUUUAGAAGUAUAUAUCCUAUAUAUGGGUAAUAGAUAACAUCUAACGAACUAAAUCUUAUUCGAAGUUCGUUCUUCUCCUAAUGGAGAAAUACAUUAUCUUAUGAUGCUUAUUUCCUUGAUAUCUUUCAAGGAAACUGUUCUAAAGUGUUACCUUUCCUUGGAUCAAAUCUAAGGAGGUAAAUACUUUAGACGUCUUACUCAUCAACUUACAUUUCUUGAAUUCUUUGAAACCUUUUGCAAAGUAUUCGGACUUGUGUUUAUUCAAAAUAAACUAUAGUCCAACCGAGAGUGAUCUUCGGUGAAUGUCAUAUAACAUGAGUAGUAUUAUGUUUGUGGACAAGUGCCACUAACAUCUAAGUGAAUUAACCUCAACAACUUUGUGAUUCUUUCUUCUUUCCAAAAGAAUAAAGAUUCGAACAUUUCGCCUCUAUACAAUUUUAACAAGAAGGUAUUGGAUCCGGAUCUAACGAUCCAAAGCAUCCAUUUUUCACCAACUCGUAAUUUAUGUUUUUAGAGGUAUCACAACUUUAGUUGGGAUUAGUCACUACCUUGCAACCUUUUGGGUUUUAAGCAUCAUUAUAUUCUAAACAGUUAACACUACCAUAUCAUCUCUACUAUAGAGACAAUCAAUUAGAUUACCAUAAUCCAAUCAUUGAUUAAUAAAGAACAAUGUUUUGUCAAACAAAACAUUCAUCCAUCUUCACUAUAGUGACGGAAUUAAAUUCCUUAAAAUUGGAAUGUAAAGACAAUCUUUGGUUUUUCCAAUUUCUUUGGUAGUUCAUAUGAGGAAGUAAGUACCAUCUGCUUUCGCAGAGAUCUAUAUUUUAUUCACGUUCCGAAUGUGAAGCACCUUUUUCUUCUCUCAUAUAUCUUCUACUUCUUAUUAGUCACACUUUUACAACGAUUGUAAAACAUAGUUACUAAUACGGAAUCAAGCAUUCAAGUAGAAGAACCAACUGUUUUGAACUAUUCAAGAACAAUUUACAACACCUUCGAAAGGGUGUGUUCUUGACACUUGCAAGACAUUUCUUGCAAAUACCCCUUCCAAUGUCCAUCCUUUCAUAAAGAAAAGUUUGUUCCCUUGGAGUUAAUUUUAUCUUCUUCAUUUGACUUCUCCUUUGACUACAAUAGUCAUGGUCCCUAAACUCCCACUAUCUCUCUUGAAACUUAUUUUCAAUUGUGUUAUACACAUCAAACAUUUUUGGAGAGCAUGUGGUUAUUGUUCACUACAUAGUUUACAAUAAACUUAGUGAACCAUUAGGAUAGGGACACAAAGGUGAAGUCCUUGCCUAGUUUCCGUCUCGUUAAGUGGUUUAUCACUUCAACACUCAAUGAUUCAAAAUCAUCAUAUAAGUCCAUGUUAAUGGACUAUUUUUGUCAACCAACCAUUAUGUUCUAAACAUAAUUACAAACCUUUCAAGAGUUGUACAAGGCAACUCUCAUUUCUUCAUACAACAAUUUGUAAGUGAAGAAUCAUGGCACAUUAAAGUGUCCAUGCCUUUGUGCUUUCUUCUCAAGUUCUUUGUUCAUUUAACAAAGAAACAAGCACUAAGUGUUUGCAUUGACUAAGGGUUGUUCAAAGCAACUCUUAUUUCUUCAUACAACGAUUUGUAAGUGAAGAACUAAUAACACUAAAAGUGUCCUUGUCAUUAUGCUAAUCUUCGUAAGUUCCUUUGUUCAUUUAACAAAGGAUUAAGCAUUGGUUGUUUGUGUUGUCCUCUUCAUGAUAGACCUUUUCUAACAUGUUCUUCUAAUGAUACAUUAUCAAUAGGAAGAUUGUGAGGAUGAGACUACUUAGGUACAUUAUACAAUCCAUUUAAGAGACAAUCUUUGGGAUUGUUGUUACCAAGUCCGGAAACUAAAGCAUUCGGCUUUUUUUUGUCAAGUGUUGGAUAGCGUUUGCAAAAUAUAUUGGUAAACAAAUACAUAACGAAUAUAAAUUGAUUGAUUUUAAGCCAUUUGAUUCGGGUCUUUAAAUCAAAUAGCACCACCCACUAUUUUUGGCAAAUUCCAUAUCCCUCAUUGGAAUUCGAGAGUUUUGGAUGAAACUCUUAGUAGGUUAUGGGAGGCUCACUAUUACCAAGCCCACCUCAGAAUGAUAUCAUGUUUGGCUAGCAUUAAUAAUAAUGAGAGAGUACGCUUACUCAUUUGCAACUAAUGCAAGUACCCAUCUUAUUUGGCCUCUAGAGAAUGAUGCCUCAGAAUGAUAUCAUGUUGGCGUCCAUUGCACUUAGUUAAGUCAUUCCCACCAUGCUUAGUUCGUGUAAGGGGUUCAAGAAUAGCCUCACGAAUGAUAUCAUGUUGGCUAAACCUCGUUGCCUACACUCACUUCAUCAUGUAUGUAUAUAGAACUCCUCCUGAGUGUAAGCAUGCACUUUGUGUACUCCCCCAUGAUAGGGUGAAGCCGGUGUACAAGUCACAAACGAUUGGAGCCUACCACGGUGGAAGGCCACGAAAGAGUGUUCAAAGCACUCUCACGCUUAUCAACUUAAUAAUGGUUUGGUUGAGGGUUUUAGGUCUCAUCACAUAUAAACAUACAUUUUAAUCUCUAUUAAAACAAUUUUGGUCCUAUUACAACUAUUGGUCCAUAUGAUUGUUUUUAGUUGUAUAUAAUACUCCCACUAUGCUUAUAAAACGGUUUUUAAAAGCAAGAGUAUAUGAUACUACUAACAUAACCUUUGCAUUCAUUUGAUGGACUAUAUAGUUGCCUUAGGGCCUUAGGAUGAUUAUGAACCUUUGUUUAGAUUCAACACGAGCCUUGUGUUGAAUCUCGGUCUAGGAAUGGUGAUUGAUUUUUAGUUACGCGUUUAAUCACAUUAAGGCGUGUUGUCUUAGGGGCGUUGGACCCAACUACUUCAUUUUCAUGCAUAUCAAAUAAAGCAAGAAAGAAGUACUUCAAAGUAAAGGUGAGCUUAUGCUCAUUACAACAUUUGCAUAAAACAAAUUACUUUAAAGUAAAGAAGAGCUUAAGCCCUUUUACAACAUUUGAUCAAAUCAAAUUACAACCAAAAUCUAAUCUACACAUUCCCAUGGUUCAAACAAAUUUGAAACGGCCUUUCACAUAGCUCAAUUAUAUUAGGCUUAGGUUCAUAAUCACCCUUUAAUUAAUUAACACUUUAACUAAUUAAAUUGAAUGCAACAUUUUCAUUUGGUUUUUUGUAUCCAUAAAAUUGAUUUAAAUGGAGCUAAACAAAAUGAAAAUCCAAUUCUCAUUUAAAGAGACAAAACAAUUUUGUUCUCUACCUAAUUUGGGCCAUCAUGCAAUAACCACAACUUUUGGGCCAUAAAGCAAUUAACCUCAACUUUUGGGCUAUAUUGCAAAACUUUUGGGGUCACUUUGUAAAGACACAAAAGUCCACUACUUCAUGUAAUUACAAUAGAACCCAAAAUUUAAUCAAUGCAAAAACUUCAUUAAAGGAGCAAAACAAUUUGUCCUUUAGCGUUUUUGGACCUAAACGUAAAAACGUAAACUUUUGGGCCAAAGUGCAAAUACACAAAAGUAUCAAAACUUUAUGUAAUUGCAUAAAAGCCCCAAAAGUACCCCCACUAGGGGGUGGCCGGUUUUUGGAAGAGGAUAGAGUGAUGUGUGUGUUGAUUUGUGAGUUUUGACAUAAAGCAUGCAAGUGGUGCAAGUGGUGUGUGUGAAAGGGAAUUAAUCCUUACACACCCAUCACCAUUUCCAUCACCUUUCAAAUAAAUGUCUAAUGCAUUAAAACAUUUGAAAAACAUAAAACAUAAACUUUAUGAAAUAAAUCAAAACUUUGAAUCAAAACACAAACCUUUUUGUUCUUGGCAAAAAUGUCAAGAACAAUGAAGAACAUUCAUGAAAAAACCCAAAAUUUUUCCAUGAACUUUUUCCACCCAAAAACAUUCCAAAACCAUUCAAACUUUAGGGAAAUAACAUCUAACCAAACUAGGGUACAUAGGGGUUCCAAAAGUCACUUGAAAACACUUUUAACAAGUCAAACAAGAACCCAAAAAUCCACCCUUUGGAUUUGGCCGAAAAUCCCCAAAAUCAUGGCACCAAAUUUUAGCUCCAAUAUUCAUGCUCAUAUGAACUACAUCUACAACAUUUGAGAUGGCAAAUUUUCUAACAAAAUUUACAUUCAAAGAAACAAGAAUAAAGCUUGUAACAUAUUACAACUUUUAAAUCACAAACUAUGAACUACAAAACCCAAAAGGAUUCACCAACUACUAGACCUAGGCUCUGAUACCACUUGAAGGAUUUAUUUUGUGAAAACAUGUUCAUUUAAGCAACAUCAUAUAGCAUGCAAUUAACAAUUAAAGGCGGAAUCAUGCUUGCAUGCACUUAAAAACAAAACAUUAACCAUGAAAUUCAAAGCCUAGUAGAUUGGUGAACCAAAACUCAACUCAAAACAAAGUGAGUUGAAAUUAUACCUUUGUAGAUUCCUCUUUGCAUAAGCAAAGGCUAAUCACCCAAAGAGAGGGCCUUCAUUCCUUGCAUCUUAAAUCUAUGGAUUUGGAUGGAAGAAUAGGUUUCUCCAAGUUCCCAAAAUAGGGAACCUCUAAGUCUCUUCACCAAGGAGAGAUUGGAGAAGAAAUGAGUGACCUUGGAGUAGUGGGAUUGCUAGAUGCACCCUCCAAGGUGGCCGGCCUCUUUAGAGAGAAAUGGAGAGACAUGUUCUCACCAAUUUUUCUCCAAAACAAAACCCUUAAUGAAUUUUAGGCUAUAAAGUCAUAUUUAUACCUUUAUUUUCAUUUGAGUGGCAAACUUGUAAAUAAGUCCAAGUUCACUACCCUUUAGCAUCAUGGCCGGCCAUUAGGGUAUUUUUUGGGCUAAUUUGGGCCUUUGUGAAUCAUUAUUCAUUAAGUUGUCAUACAACUUAAGUCAAUGGGCUUGACGUUCGAAGCCCAUUGGGCCUUAAGGUCCAAAACUAUCCCGAGGUCUUUAACGAACUUAUUCGUUUGAUUAAUUAACAUAUUAAUUAAUCCUUGCCAUAAAUAAAUGAUUAAACCAUUUAAUCAUUCUUACUCAUCUCCAUUGUUUCUUCAAUCUCCACCUUACACGGUGUGCGAUCCAUUAGGUUCCUUUUAGCGAGGCAGUGGGCGAUUAAAACCAUUUUACAUCGAUUGUGAAUUGAAACUUACUUUCAAUUCUCCCUUUAGUGAUUACACACGUUUAGGGCUUCCACAAACCAUGAGUGACACCUAGCAGCAUAUCAUGGUUACCCAAGCUAAUCAGAAGAGGUUAGAGAAAACCUAUUCAGUUUGGGAUUACAAAUGCAAUACGGUCUUUCUCUAAUACUAAUACUCUUGACCACAUUGUUUGGUUUGAUAGUUUAUUUAUUCAUGUCUACUAUCCAAUGUGAUUCGUGUGCUUAUAUGAUUUACCUUGAAUGUGAUUUAGGAACGACUUUUCUAAAUCUCAUUCAUACUCUGGCCAGAGAUUCUAAAUCAUAUCAUAGAGUAUUCUCCCUCAAACAGUUUGAAGGUUAGAGAUCCCUUGUUGCGCAUUCACUUGCCUCCAUGGCUAAGUGGCUUAACCCCAACGAUGCCGUGGACACCCUCCUGAUGGAGGUGACUUUGACAUAAUCAAAGAUCAAGGACUUAACCACAAGACAACUAUGAUGCCUCAGGUCAAAGGACUACUUUGCAUUAUCCCAACCAUGAGUUCUCAUGUGACAUGAGUAUGAGAACUCUUCGUUGAUCGCGUUCAGUGAACUCAUUCUCUACUGAGCACCUACGUACUUGUCUUGAUGUCACACACACCAAUGACUCGAGACUAGUCACUCUCCCUGAGAGAAGACAUAGCACGUACCGAUCUUGACGGACUGUCAAUGCCCAAUUGGCAAUCCUAUGAUCAGGAACAUUUAGGAUGUGUCUACGAAAGAAUGGUCUCAUGAAUCUAACUUCAUUAGAUUACAUUCUCCCAAUCACAUAUUCCUUGGACUUUAUCGUUUAAGCAUAUAACAUUUAUAUGAGACGGCUCAAACAAUAAUCUUUGCCCUUUAUAUUAAACUAGAUUAGUUUAACAUGUGAAAUGUCUGUAAAGCAUCAUCACAUGAUUGGUUUUAGGGCACAUUUCCAACAUAAGGACACUCAAUCAAACAAACAAAUGCAAGCACAAACUCUGCUCAAAGCCAGAUUUGCCUUCAAAACAAAGCUGUAGUCAGCCUUCAUCCCUUUCGGGGAUAAACCUCCAUCCCUCUCGGGAUAACCCUCUCUUCAACCUUUUGUAAUAGCUCUGCUACCUUGUUCAACCUUGCUGUAGUAUCGAUUAAUCUUUUGUAAUCUCUCUCUCUCUCUACCCCUCUAAGCUUUCAGACAUUUGACAAAACUACAAAGAUAGGAACCUGCAAGAAGAGCAACCUUACCCGAUAAGGUUUAACCUUGCCCGACCUUCUUUGCUUUAGUUUUAUCUUUUCAAUAUGUUGUAUACUUCCAGUUAUAUGCAAGUUAUUUCUAGCAACAUGAUUAUUAAGAGGCUUUCUCAGUACUUGAAUCCAAUUUGAAUAUAUCGUCAGUGUUCAAACCAGAUCCAAGUCCUAAGCCCUCGGGCAUGUAAAUCUGAUCAGUUAAAAGUCCUUGGCCUCAAGGCAUAAAAUAGAACCUUAUGUGGACUUAACCCAUCCACGACAGUCCUUGAUAAACGAGAAGUCCGAAGUUACUUGGGGCGCAAGUAAUCAACCUACCUUCUAGUUUUCUUUCUAUUAUGUCAUGAUUAUCAUAGAACGCUUGAGCAUGGGAUGGAUUCUAAUGGAAAGCCUCAAGGCCUACACCUAAGGCCCCACAAAGGCAUCCAUUUGGAUUCAUUCCGUUCAGCGAUCUAAAGAGUCUAAGUAUAAGAAUGAACUCUGAUGGGAAGCCUCAAGGCCUACACCUAAGGCCCCACAAAGGCACCUAUUUGGGUUCAUUCUACUUCUUGGAUUCGGGUAAUCAGAAGUAUAAUAGUUAGAAAACUCCUACAAUCACAAGAACAAAUAUGAUGCGUUCGAGCACUGGUUUAGUUAUUUAUGAGAAGCCUCAAGGCCUACAUCUAAGGCCCUACAAAGGCACCUGUUAUAACUAACACGGUUUCUUGAAUACAUACAUAUAUACAACUAAAGCACGACAACCAUUUUACAUCUGCCAUGCUAAAGAUGGCAGUUGCACGCCUGAGCACCUAAAUGUUAACCUUGAUUGUGAGCCUCAAGGCCUACACCUAAGGCCCCACAAAGGCACCCUUCAAAGUUAAUGCUGUCCUUCUCUUUCAGCCUUACCCGAAGAGUCUUGCCCGAAGAGUCUUGCCCGACGAGACUUGCCCGAUAACGCCCGAAAACGAAGCAGAAGCCCGACAGCAGCCCUCAACCGGCGCCAACCUCCAGGGGAGCUGUGUGCUCGUCGGCCAGGAAACAUCCCCGACGGAAAUUCCUGCCACGAACAAGUAUAAUUUAAAUAAUAAUAUCAAUUGUAAUUAAAUGAUUAUUGCUUGCGUAAUAAGAUGCAUGCAUGCACACUCAUACUAGUAUAUAUUAGAUGGAUACAUACUGAAUAGUGAUUAUGUUGAUGAUGCGAAAAUUAUCUUAACACACAAAUUUAACCCUCUUUUGACAAUUGUAGUACAAGUAUAAGUAGGGAUCGUUCUGGACCGGAGAUUAGGAGGACUCGCUAAUAACCUCUAAACUAACUCAAAAAACAUAAAACUAAACUUAAAAACACUUAACAAGACUCACAAGACUCAAAGCAAACUUAAAAUACUCAAAACAGCUUAAAACAACCAAAUAAACUUAAACUAGACACUAGGAAUGACUUUGGACGAAAAUUGACUUUUACUUGAAUCAAAACACUUAAAAACACAAACUAAAACAGAUUUUAAACACUUUGAAACAAGAAACUAAAAUGGGGGUUUUGAUUUGGAUGAAGUUGAAACAAACAAACAAGUAUGAAAAACUAGACAAAUUGUAAAACAAAUUUGAGAACUAAGAUGAUGGAUGGGAUAGCUAGAGGCUUUUUCUCCACACAUGACAUGUAUGCAAAUAACUUGAUUUCCAGUUACUGCUUCAUUGAAUUAUGAACGACAAUGCUCCAAAUUAACCGUGACAUCACUAGUUAACUCUCAGAUUUUCCUUGUUUUAUUGGAUUGGAUGACAUCAUUCGACAACCCAAAACAUUCUUCAAAAGUUCCCUACAUGACAUCAUAAUAGAGAUACAAUCAAAGAUCAUUACGUUUAAUGAAAAUCAUAAGCAUUGACAAAGCACUUGCAACUAUGACAUCAUGUCGCUUAUGCUAGGAAUUGAACUUAACGCGAUCGUUUAUAAGCGACCUUCACUACAUGUGAAUAUAAGUUUGUAACGAUUAUGUGAAACUUCCUUAUAUUCUAGCAAUGGAUUUAUGCAUGCCAAUUAAGUGUCGACCCUUAAUUAACAAAUAUAAAUAAGUUAUCAAUCAAAUAGUUAAGCCAAUUGCAUUCACGAUUCAAGAGUUCCUAACUGGAAUUUAUCAAAUUAUAUUGCACACAUAAUCAUGGCUUUUAAAUCACCCCUAGCCAAGAGGGGUUUAGCCACUCAUAUUUACAACAAAACGAAAGGAAAUGAAUUUAAACAUUAGAAACAAAAGAAAGAAAACACCUAAACGCUCCAACGAUCCAAGUUGGACAGCAAGCAUGUCCAAGCACUUUCUUUCCCUUCCUUUGCUACGGCACAAGGUGUUGGUGAGUGUUUGAAGGUUUGUUUAUAUGGAGGAAUGGAUGUAAAGAUGAAUGGAUGUGUUUGGAUGAAGGUUGUAUUGAAAUGGGGAUGAAUGAUCAAGCAAAAACUAAACUAUAUGGCUGCCGCACACACUUCCUUUUAUAGAGGAAGUGCACCGCAAUGGAGGGAAAUUGGUGGUGUGUGCAAUGAUUCAAGGGUGAAAAUGAAGUAAUGAUGCAAAGCAUGGGGGGUAAAAUGGAGUGGUGUUGCAGCAAUGAGUGCAUUGAGUGGUGUUUGAAAUGAUUCAAAGGUGAAAGUGAAGUGAUGAUGCAAAGCAUGGGGGGUAAAAUGGAGUGAUGUUGCAGCUAGGGAACAUGAACGAUUGUGCACUUGGUAGAGAAAGGAAAGGGAGGUGAAAUGGUGCAGAAAUGAGUCAAAGGUGCAGCAAGACUCAUGAUGCACGGCAUGGGAUUUCAAAUGUGAUGGAUAGUGCAUCAAUGAGUGCAUGUAGUGGAGGUAAAAGUUGUAUAAAAUCUGAUGGGUGAAGGGGACAAGAAAUGUGCAGCAAUUGAGUGCAAUGAUUCAAUGUUUUUAUGCAUGAAAUCAGAAAUAAUGAAGGAGACAAAGGUGGUGCAUGACAUGGGUGGAAAUGUGAGUAAGUGGUGAAUCAAUGAGUGCAAGGAGGUGAAAGGAUUUUGUGCACAUGGUAGAGAAAGGAAAGGGAAGUGGAAUGGUGCAUCAAAUGAGUGCAAGGAGGGAACAUGGAUGAAUGUGCACGGCAUGGAGUGAUUUAUGGCAGAAAAUAGGAAAGGAAUGGCUCCCUUGCACGGCAAGGAAGAGAAAUGGUGAAGGAUGGUAUGGCUUGGACUUUUAGGGAAGGUUUAGGACUCGUAAAAUAUGUAAUGAAAUGUCCCAAAGUAUUUAGGAACCCUUUGUGUGACUAAUUUAGGAUUAGGAAAGGUAACGACAAGAUAAGGCAAGUUUGACUAGUCGUUCCUCAUUCUUAAUGGUUUCCUUGUCUUCCUUGGUCCUCAAUUUAUUUUCUUCCUUUCCUUGGCACAUUCCUAGCUUCUUUAUAUCUUUAAUUCCGUCCAACCACUUUGCUCCAUGCAUGUGAUAUCCAUUCCAUGCCCAAAACUGCUCUAAAAGGCACCAAAAUGCACUUCUUUGCCUUUUUAACCCUUUGUACCUACAAUCACACGAAAAUGGCUUGAAAUACUAAAUCAACUAAGAAAUAACAACAUAAAUGCACAAGAACAAGCUAACUAAGUCGCAUAAAUAUGCUCCUAUCAAAGUGAUGAUAACCGAAAGGCCGACGUUUUAUGUUGUUAACUGUUAAUUGUUGGAUAUUCAAAUCUCUCAUUUGUAUAAAUAAAUCAGAAUCGGAUACCUUUGCUUACUUUCUUGUUUGUUUCGAAUCCUCCAAUUCUAAUCAUCAAGAAAAGUAAAAAAUAAAUAAAGAGUAAGCCGAUCAACAAAAAGAAUAUUUCAAGUUGCUUACAGACUUUUCAUGUGAUGGAGUGGGGUGUGCUCGGGAGAUUGUGUGACGUGAUGAACUUCUGGAGUUAAUUUUGGAUGCGCUAUUCGAAGAUUUUUCACGUCAAAUAUAUUGUUUGAUUUGGUUUGUGAGGAUAGUUAACUUUAAUUUAUUUGUGGAGGAUGCUCUUUUACCAUUUGAUUAGGUUGAAAGUUUCAACAAAGUUUUUAUCGAGGUCCAUCUUCACUUUAUACCGAUUUCCUCAUCUUAAUGAAUAUCAUACAUUUUGUUCCAAAAAAACAAAAUGAAUAUUUCUUAUUCACAUGCAAAUAGUGCUCCACUUAAUUGGGCCCGUGAACCUUUUCUAGUCUAAAUUGUAAUUGAAAGGAGGGGCACGUGAAUUUUUGCAAAAUUUGGACACAUCGGCCGAUAGUUUUUCUGUUAACCUUUUGAGGCAUGCACUAGUUUGUUGGAUGUGGAUGUAAAUUUUCGUCUUCUUCUUCUUGGACGAAAAUGCACCUGCAAAACAAUUAACACUUAAGGUCAAUGCUAAGAGCCUCACGCUCCCACGAUGAAUUGGAGGGGGGGUUUGGCCGAAGAACCUCUUAUGCCAAAGUUAGAAUUUGAGGGAGAAAGUGUUUAGAGAAAUUUGGUGAAUUUUGCAAGAGAAUUGGACUUAGGUUUUUGGAGAAAUGAGAGGCUAUAUAUAUAAGGGUGUGGUCGACCUUAUUUGGAGAAAAGGGGUUCGGUCACUUAUGGUGGUUUUUUGCUAUAAUUGCAAGAUAUUAUUUAUUAUGUCAAAAUAAUAUCUUGUAAUCAAUCAGGAAAUUAAUUAGAAAAUUAAUCAAUUAAUUUUGGUAAUUAAUCCUAAUUUGAAAAGAAUAAAUAGGGGUUACUUUGUGGGGAGGAUUUGAUGAGGAUUGAUGAAAUAGGUUUUGAAUAAAUACCUAUUUUGGUCACCUUUGACCUUGAUUGAACCGUUAUUGUCUACUUCUUGCGUGUGGGAGUCCCAGUAUGCCUCGAGGGUAAUUUUGUUUUUUUAACCCAAGAAUCCACGUGUCGCAUUCAUAUUUUUCUCGAUUAUUUUUGGCUCCACAAAUACCCCAGCACCUGUUGGACUACUCGUAGAAAAGGGUAGCAGGUGUAGAGAUCUUCUUGCUUUAGGAAACAUAGGAAUGUUUCCUAUUUUGAUGUAGAUUCUCUCUCUAAUUGAAAAUUAGAUCCUCAUAGGAAAGGGAAAUAAAUUUCUCCCAAAGUCUAUUUAAGUCUACCUUAGAGAGCAAUCUAUUUUACCUACAAGAGAGAAAGCUAGAGGAUAUUUGUUCCCCUCCCCUAGGAAUCUUCUACACUUGCCCGUGCAAAUGACCAUCUUUCAUUGCUUUCUUCGUCUUUACGCCGCACCAAGGUAAGAAAAAAUUAAUUUUCCUUGUCUUCUUAAUUUUUGGGAGCCUCGGGGCUUGAAAUUUAGCUCGACGGGGGUCGAUGAGGUGUGCAAAAUUAGUUGGAAAGUCACGUAGGAGUUCUGGUGUGCCUCGAGGGUAAUUAUGUCUUUUUCACCCAAGAAUCCAUGUGUCACCUCCAUAUUUUUCUUGAUUAUUUUUUGUUCCACAAAUGCCCCCACACCUGUUUGGUUGCUCGCAAAAAAGGGCAACAAGUGUAGAGAUCUUCCUGCUUUAGGAAACAUAGGAAUGUUUCCUAUUUUGAUGUAGAUUCCCUAUUUAAUUGAAAAUUAGAUCCUUCUAGAAAAGGGAAAUAAAUUUAUCCCAAAGUCUAUUUAAGUCUACCUUAAGUAGAUAAGAUUAACUUUAGAGAGCAAUUUAUUCUACCCUACAAGAGAGAGAAAGCUAGAGGAUAUUUGUUCCCCCUUCCCUAGCAAUCUUUUACACUUGGCUAUGCAAAUGACCGUUUUCAUUGCUUUCUUCGUCUUUACGCCGCACCAAGGUAAGAGAAAAUUAAUUUUCCUUGUCUUCUUAAUUUUUGGGAGCCUUGGGGCUUGAAAUUUGGCUCGACGGGGGUCGAGGAAGUGUGCAAAAUCGGCUGGGAAGUCACGGCUGGGUUGCUGCCAUGUGUGGCUCAGCUCAGGCUAAGGGUUGGCGUGGUUGGCUCAGGCCAAGAAGCUGAGUUGGAUGGUUAGACUUAGGCCCACAAGAAAAAGUGGAAAAGGGAGGGACAAGGUUGCCAACCCCUUUUUCGGUGGAAUUAGGUCGCGAGGCCUAAGAGCUGAGGGAGAAUGGGCCAGGCCGUAGGGCCUGGCGUGGCUGUUGCUAGGCUCAUGUGGCUUGGGCCUUCAGUUUUUUUUUUUUUUUUUUUUUUUUUUUUUUUUUUUUUUUUUUUGAAUGAUGGGCUCGACCCUAUGCUGGUAUAGGAAGGAGAGAGAGGCCGAGAAUCAUGUUCGGCCAUGGGGCCUGUUGUGCCAUGCCCCUUCUUCUUUUAUUUAUUUAUUUUUUUUUUAUGUAACCGUCUAACGAAUUUUCCUUGCAUCUUUAUAGAAUUUCUUCAAGCAUGUCUUCCUUAAGCCACAUGAAUGAUGAUUGUGUGCUGCCAUUGUAUCGUCAAAGCGGGUCUUUGAGCAAGGUUGGCUACUUCAAGGCUGCUCACUUUAAAAUUAGCUUCGAUGACUUGUUUAGAGAUUUCCUUGAGGUAUAUAGGCACGCUAUUCCGUCGGGAGUGCGUGUGAAGUGUGUCAAGGAUGGUAGCAGCCAUGAACCAUGUAGUGAGGCUCGGACAACCAUCAAGUUUAACCCUUACUACUUUGUGUUAGGGUUUACUUUUCCUAUGCCGCGUUUUUUCCAAGAAGUGCUCUGCUCCAUGAGAUGUGCCCCUGCUCAAUGUUCUCCGAAUGCGGUCCACGUGAUGGUGGGAUUCCUUAAUCUAAGCCAAUUCUUUGACUUAGAUCUAAUCGUCAAUGAAUUUUGUUACUGCUUUGACAUAGGCCACAUCGAGGAAGUUGGGUAGCUACGAUCUUGCCAUAGGCUCUUUGACCAUUCGAGUAAGGGAGAUCAUGACUAGGCCAUGGAGACUUUGGAGAUAAGCGGAGAAUGAGAGUCUGAUUCUUCCCCCAAGCUGAGUGUUCUGACGGUUUUCAUCUCUGGUAAGUAUGCUGCUUAGUCCCUCGGCUACUUUGUACUUUCACUAAACUGUGUUCUGAUUUAUUGAUUGUCUCCCUCUGCUCUUGUAGAUUUGUAAUUUGGCUUAACUCCUAAGACUUCUUCAGAAAUGAAAAAGUUCAUGUCGCUCUGGGUAUCCCUUGGCAAUGGCUGCUUAGUCAUUUUCAUCGAGAGAAAGAUGAACUGCCCCUAAGGGAAGAGAUAAAGCAAAUCAAGGUUAAGGCGUUGGCUCGCCUGAUCACAGUUGUGGAGCCUGCAACAAAUGAAGGUGGGAAAAACAGAUCUUCCUAGCUUGCUCAAGAGAAGAUGGCUGAGAAAAAGCCAAAGACUUAUUCUGCUGCUUGCGAAGGUUCGUCGGCUGUCCUCAGGCUUGCGAUUGACUUGACUUCUUCCAAGGGUGAAAAUGAUGAGGCUGCUAGAUUCGUGCCAGUGAUGCAUGUCGUUCCAUAGGUGGCUAGUUUGAUUGCUGAUUGGAUUGCUCAGCGUAUAAAUUCCGACGUGUCUCCAGUGCCAAAAUUUAUGCCAAAACGUCCUUAUGGGGCUAAGUUUGGUUCACCUUUGGAGAGGCUCGCUACUAUGAAGAGCCACAAGGUGCCUUCGCUUGCUAAAGUGAUGCCAAAACCCAUUCCUCAUGCUGCUGAGACCGAUUCGCCUGCUGAGAAGAAUGAGACUGCUUGUGCGGGCAGUUAUGAGAAAUCCACAAAGUUUGUUUCUAGAGAAGCUGCUGAGAUUUGUACGCUCUUGAGACCUGAUCUGCUCGAGGAUAUGGAUGCGUAUGCCAAGUUUGUUUAUGGCAUUAGAGAGGUUGUCUGCCCAAGUUCCUUUGCGAAGCAUACGACCGAGUAUAGGAAGACUGCUCUGCUUGCCAUGACAUAGAAGACGACGAUUCCAGCAACUGAGUCUAUGCUCCUUGACUAAGAAGACACCAAGGCUGCCAAAGAGGUGGCAAAGAUUAUGGCAACCAAAGUUUACUCCUCGGUCGAGAAGAUCAAGAGGUUGGAAUCUGAGCUUGCUGCUUUGAAGGGGUUUAAUAUCUUUACCCCCACUUCUAUGUAGCUUGAGACCGCUCUCCAAGAGAUCGUGGAUUUGAAGACUAGGCUUGACGCGAUCCAAGUUAAGUAUGAAAGUGCAGAAAAGGAGAUCAAGUGUUACAUACCUUAGAUUCAAGACCUUGAGCGUGCCAUCUCUGAGUUCUGCUCUACUUCUUACGCAAAGGAUGAAGAACUAAUCCCUGCUUAUAACCAAGUGAUCCAUUUCAAGAAUGUUGUUGAUAGGCUUGAACCUCAAGUGUUAGAUUUCCAAGGUGUUUUGAAGAUCAACGACAGUCUGAAGAAGGAAGUGGAUGAGCUACAGUGCAUCUGUGCUGGUCUACUGGGAAUGAAAAGGUUGGACUUGAGGCUUCACUUACUUAGAGUUAAGACGAUUUCUACAAGUUGGGUUAUGUAGACCAUCUCUUUGGGCAUUCGUCUGCCUUUGCGUUUUCUGGUAAAGACUUCGAGACCUUUUCCAUUUCUUCUGAAAACGUGCUCAUCUUUACUUUCGAGGCUUCCAUUAGUGACGUAGUUGGAGAAGCUGAUGCCUAGGCUGGGGCAGCCGAGAAUCAAGCGUUGGAUGGUGCCACUGCUAAGGGUGCCGUGGUUGUUGAUGGUGUGGCGACCGAGUAGUAGUGGAGCAUCCAAGCUUCUGAGUGAAGGAAAUUUAAUGAAAACAUGUUCAUUUAAGCAACAUCUAUAGCAUGCAAUUAACAAUUAAAAGGCAGAAUCAUGCUUGUAUGCACUUAAAACAAAACAUUAACCAUGAAAUUCAAAGCCUAGUAUAUUGGUGAACCAAGACUCAACUCAAAUCAAAGUGAGUUGAGAAAUUUAUACCUUUGUAGAUUCCUCUUUGCAUAAGCAAAGGCUAAUCACCCAAGGAGAGGGCCUUCAUUCCUUGCUUCUUAGAUCCAUGGAUUUGGAUGGAUGAAAUGGUUCUCCAAGUUCCCAAAAUUGAGAACCUCUAAGUCUCUACACCAAGGUUAGAUUGGAGAAGAAAUGAGUGACCUUGGAGGAGUUGGAUUGCUAGCUAAUCCCUCCAAAGGGGCCGGCCUCUUUAGAGAGAAAGGGAGAGACAUGUUCUCUCCAAUUUUUCUCCAAAAGAAACCCUUAAUGAAUUUAGGCUAUAAAGUCCUUUAUAUAGUCCCUUCAAAUAAGUGACCUAAAGAACCAAAAAGCCAUUCUUUUAACAUGGCCGGCCAAUUGAGGGAUUUGGGCUUUUGGGCCCUUGUGAAUCUUUAUUCAUUAAGUUGUCAUACAACUUAAGUCCAUGGGCUUUGACGUUCGAAGCCCAUUGGGCCUUAAGGUCCAAAACUAUCCCGAGGUCUUCAACGAACUUAUUCGUUUGAUUAAUUAACAUAUUAAUUAAUCCUUGCCAUAAAUAAUUAAACCAUUGAAUUAUUCUUACUCAUCUCCAUUGUUUCUUCAAUCUCCACCUUACACGGUGUACGAUCCAUUAGGUUCCUUUUAGCGAGGCAGUGGGCGAUUAAAACCAUUUCAAAUCGAUUGUGAAUUGAAACUUACUUUCAAUUCUCCCUUUAGUGAUUAUACACGUUUAGGGCUUCCACAAACCAUGAGUGACACCUAGCAGCAUAUCAUGGUUACCCAAGCUAAUCAGAAGAGGUGGAGAACCUAUUCAGUUUAGGAUUACAAAUUCAAUACGGUAUUUCUCUAAUACAAUACUCUUGACCACAUUGUUUGGUUUGAUAGUUUAUUCAUGUCUACUAUCCAAUGUGAUUCGUGUGCUUAUAUGAUUACCUUGAAUGUGAUUUGGAACGACUUCCUAAAUCUCAUUCAUACUUCGGCCAAAGAUUCUUAAUCAUAUCAUAGAGUAUUCUCCCUCAAAUGGUUUGAAGGUUAGAGAUCCCUUGUUGCGCAUUCACUUGCCUCCAUGGCUAAGUGGCUUAACCCCAACUAUGCCGUGGACACCCUCGAAUGGAGUGACUUUGACAUAAUCAAAGAUCAAGGACUUAACCACAAGACAACUAUGAUGACUCAGGUUAAAGGACUACUUUGCAUUAUCCCAACCAUGAGUUCUCAUGUGACAUGAAUAUGAGAACUCUUCGUUGAUCGUGUUCAGUGAACUUAUUCUCUAUUGAGCACCUACGUACUUGUCUUGAUGUCACACACACUAAUGACUCGAGACUAAUCACUCUCCCUGAGAGAAGCCACAGCACGUACUGAUCAUAACGGACUGUCAAUGCCCAAUUGGCAAUCCUAUGAUUAGGAACGUUUAGGAUAUGUAUACGAAAGAAUGGUCUCAUGAAUCUAACUUCUUUAGAUUGCAUUCUCCCAAUCACAUAUUCCUUGGACUUAUCGUUUAAGCAUAUAACAUGUAUAUGAGACGACUCAAACAAUAACCUUUUGCCCUUUAUAUUUAAACUACAUUAGUUUAACUUGUGAAAUGUCCGUAAAGUAUCAUCAUAUGAUUGGUUUUAGGGCACAUUUCCAACAAUCUCCCACUUGCACUAGAGCCAAUCAACUUGGUCAUCGGUGAUGAUACCUCUUCUGUAGUCAUUUCAUAAAUGGCUGAGUAGUAGGCCUAGACAAUGGAUAUCUAUAUGUUAUCCAUAGAAGCAACCUUGAGAAUAACGACGUCACCAUUAUACAUGAUUCUUAAUCAUGUGGUUCAGUCUCUCAUUUGAGUUUGGACCUUGAUGAGACCUUGAUUCCCUGGCUUGAGCUAUUGCCCCAUUAGUGUCAUAGUGUCAGUACACUAGAUACACUUUCUGGUUGGAAUCGAAUAGAGAGUUCAUAAAUGAACUUUCCCAUCCAAACAACAUUGUUGUAAACUUCUAUAUGGCAAUAUAUUUUGCAUUCAUAAUGGAACACACUAAAGUCAUUACUUUAAUGUUUCCAUCUAAAUAUCUCUUUAGUCAUAAUAAAGAGAUAUCUGUUUAUCUCUUCAUUCAUAAUGAAGAAACAUCCAAUGAUGGAUUAGAUUCAUAAUCUAAUGCAUUUUUCCAUUACGUUACACUAAUUCUUCCUCAUUCUUUGAGGAAUUUAUCCUUUAGUAUUUCUUAAAUACUUAAGGACUCACUUGACAGUUGCCAUGGUUCUGAUCCUGGGCUUGCACUGAUAUCGUAUUGUACCGUUCUAGGUACAACUCAUAUCAAUGUUUUUCAUACAAUAUGAAAUACAUAAAUCACCUUUCUGCGUAUGCAUAAAGGAUUCUAUUUACACAUUAUUUCUUUGGGAGUCAAAGAGUACGUUCUCUUUGAGAAGAGCAACUUCUUAGUCUCACUAGAGUUGUCCUUUUGAUUGAAGUUCAUCAUCAUAUGAGAAACUUCCUAUCAUCUUUUGUAUAUAUUUAGGGCUUGAUAUAAUCCAAUUAUAUCCUAAAAUCUAUCAAUAUAGAUUUCCAUCCCAUGUAUAUAGACUAUGUCUCCCAUAUACAUUCUAUCUUCAUAUAAUGUUUUAAAGUCAUAACUUUAACGAAGAAGUAUUCUUUUCAUUUCCAAAAUUAAUAUAUCAUAUAUUUAAAUUUUAGGAACAUGAUUAACUCCUACUAAUCUUUUGUAAACCUAGUAAACAAAAGAUUCAUUUACAUCUUUAUGAGAAAUCAAACGAUUUGAUCCUUUUCUCAUAAGAUGCUUAUAGCUCCCACUAGCUUGCUAAGAUUCAUGAUGGAUGGAUCUCUACAACUUACAUGUCCUGUGAUUUAUAGUUUUAGACAUAUAUUAUCAAGACUAUCUUAAUAAUGGUUUCGGAAACCCAUAUUAUGUCCAAAUAUUGAAUCACCAUUUAGUUGUAGCUAGCAAUCUUCGAAUUAAUUGAAAACAAGACUACGUCAAAGAUGGUUUCUUCAAAGUCAACCAUUCUCUUUGAUUGUAGUCACCUUAAGCUACCAAUUAGCUAUUUAAGGUUUCAUUAUUUCGGGUCAAAUGGUACUUUACCAUUUCCUUGAGUAUAUAUCGUAUAUACACUCAAUGUAGUCAUAAGGAUUUUCAUUCUUAUUUCUUUCGAAUUAAGAGGUGUAACUCUAUGACAUAGUCAUAAAGUUCAAACCAUUCAACUGAGACGGUUUAUAAAUCCUUCUGGACUACCUUGGAGCUUGUGGUAUAGGAACUAGGUUGUUAUAUUUGUUGAUUACUUUCUUGUCUCUCAAAGAACCCAUUCUUUGAGUUCUAUCUCUCGUUCAUUUGCUCUUAGGCAAAUCACAUUGUAGGAUUACAAUGAACUACCCAACAAAACAACAUUUGUUAGUUAGUUUAUAGAAGCGAUAUCCAAAAGUUAAUUUAAGGAUAUCCCACAAGAUUGUUAUCAAACAAAUAUUGCUUAUUAGCACACAACCCCAAAUCUUAACAUGCUUGAGAUUUGUCUUUCUUUCCAACUACAUCUUAUGGAGUCAUGAAAAUCUUGGAAGAUCUUCUAAUAUAUAUAUCCUAUAUAUGGGUAAUAGAUAACAUCUAACGAACUAAAUCUUAUUCGAGUUCGUUCUUCUCCUAAUGGAGAAAUUCAUUAUCUUAUGAUGCAAUUUCCUUGAUAUCUUUCAAGGAAACUCAUCUAAAGUGUUACUUUUCCUUGGAUCAAAUCUAAGGAGGUAAAUACUUUCGAUGUCUUACUCAUCAACUUACAUUUCUUGAAUUCUUUGAAACAUUUUACAAAGUAUUCGGACUUGUGUUUAUUCAAAAAUAAACUAUAGUCCAACCGAGAGUGAUCUUCGGUGAAUGUCAUCCAACAUGAGUAGUAUUAUGUUGUGGACAAGUGCCACUAACAUCUAAGUGAAUUAACCUCAACAACUUUGUGAUUCUUUCUUCUUUCCAAAAAGAAUAAAGAUUCGAACAUUUCGCCUCUAUACAAUUUUAACAAGAAGGUAUUGGAUCCAGAUCUAACGAUCCAAAGCAUCCAUCUAUGACCAACUCGUAAUUUAUGUUUUAGAGGUAUCACAACUCAGUUGGGAUUAGUCACUAUCUUGCAACCUUUUGGGUUUUAAGCAUCAUUAUAUUCUAAACAGUUAACAAUACCAUAUCAUCUCUACUAUAGAGACAAUCAAUUAGAUUACUAUAAUCCAAUCAUUGAUUAAUAAAGAACAAUGUUUUGUCAAACAAAACAUUCAUCCAUCUCUACUAUAGUGACGGAAUUAAGUUCCUUAAAAUUGGAAUGUAAAGACAAUCUUUGGUUUUUCCAAUUUCUUUGGUAGUUCAUAUGAGGAAGUAAGUACUAUCUGCUUUCGUAGAGAUCUAUAUUUCAUUCACGUUCCGAAUGUGAAGCACCUUUUCUUCUCUCAUAUUUCUUCUACUUCUUAUUAGUUACACUUUUACAACGAUUGUAAACAUAGUUGCUAAUACGGAAUCAAGCAUUCAAGUAGAAGAACCAACUGUUUUGAACUAUUCAAGAACAAUUUACAACACCUUCGAAAGGUGUGUUCUUGACACUUGCAAGACACUUCUUGCAAAUACCCCUUCCAAUGUCCAUCCUUUCAUAAAGAAAGUUUGUUCCCUUGGAGUUAAUUUUAUCUUCUUCAUUUGACUUCUCCUUUGACUACAAUGGUCAUGGUCCCUAAACUCCCACUAUCUCUCUUGAAACUUAUUUCAAUUGUGUUAUACACAUCAAACAUUUUGGAGAGCAUGUGUUUAUUGUUCACUACAUAGUUUACAAUAAACUUAGUGAACCAUUAGGAUAGGGACAUAAAGGUGAAGUCCUAGCCUAGUUUCCGUCUCGUUAAGUGGUUUAUCACUUCAACACUCAAUGAUUCAAAAUCAUCAUAAGUCCAUGUUGAUGGACUAUUUUUGUCAAACAACCAUUAUGUUCUAAACAUAAUUACAAACUUUCAAGAGUUUUUCAAGGCAACUCUCAUUUCUUCAUACAACAAUUUGUAAGUGAAGAAUCAUGGCACAUAAAGUGUCCAUGCCCUUGUGCUUACUUCUAAAGUUCCUUGUUCAUGUAACAAAGAAACAAGCACUAAUGUUUGCAUUUAACUAAGAGUUGUUCAAAGCAACUCUUAUUUCUUCAUACAACAAAUUGUAAUUGAAGAAUUAUGACAUUAAAAGCGUUGUCCUCUUUAUGAUAGACUUUUUCUAAAAUAUUCUUCUAAUGAAACAUUAUCAAUAGGAAGAUUGUGAGGAUGAGACUACUUAGGUACAUUUACAAGCCAUUAAAGACAAUCUAUGGUUUUGUAGUACCAAGUCCGGAAACUAAAGCUUUCGGCUUUUAUUUGUCAAGUGUUGGAUAGCGUUUGCAAAUAUAUUGGUAAAUAAAUACAUAACGAAUAUAAAUUGAUUGAUUUUAAGCCAUUGAUCCCGGUCUUUGAAUCAAAUAGCACCACCCACUAUUUUUGGCAAAUUCCAUAUCCCUCAUUGGAAUUCGAGAGUUUUGGAGGAAACUCUUAGUAGGGUAUGAGAGACUCACUACUGAAGGGAAAAUUAUGAGAUUUCUAGAAUGGGAUUUCAUAAUGACUAUCAUGCGUAUUUAAAUCAAAUUUAAUAUACGAAAGCAGCGGAAGCAUUUAUAACAUAUUAUCAAAGCUAUAGUCAUGCAAAUCCCCUUCAAGGUUCAUAGGUUUAUAUAUAAUGCAUCAAAACAUUUUUAAAGAAUCAAGAACAAGGUGAAGGUUAGUCUUAUACCUCUUGAUCUAGACUUGAGACCAAGGAUGGACCACCUCCAAGCCCUUUGCUCCUUGAAAUCCUUGAGCCUAGCUUCCCUCCUUGCCUCCUCCACUUUGUUACAAUGAGUGCUCCUAGGUUCUCUUCAAGUUCCCAAAGUAGGAAACCUCUAAAGAUCCUCACCCACUAGUGUAGUGAGAAGGAUGAAGGAAUAACCAAAAGGGUGUAAGAGAUGUUAGUAAAAACCCCAUUUGGUGGCCGGCCUUUGUGUAGUUUAGAGAGCUAUUUUUCUUUUGCCUCUUUGUUGUUUUAACACACAAAAAACCCUAAUGAACUUUAUCUCUAUAAAGUUGCUUAUAUAGACAAAAGAAACCUAGUCAACACUUGACUAAUUUUCUCUCCUUCCCCACUUAAUAUGGCCGGCCCUCUUUGUGUUGUUUGGGCUUUGGGCUUUCAUUUAUUUCAAGUCAUCCAAUGCUUGAAUAAAAGCCCAAUGGGUUUAGGCCCAAUAGGCCCAAUUAAACCCGAACGUUUCUUUAAGCCCAAAACGAUCUUUAUCGCUUUUAUGAUUUCUUUAGACUUUUCUAAAUUAAUCACAACACAUAAUUAAUCCAAUUAAUUGUUUCCAUCAUCCAUUAGUUACUCACCACAAUAGUGUUUUGGUGAACAAUCUUUUAGGUUCUAAUUAGCAAGGCAGUGAGGUGAUUGGCAUCAAUCCAAUUGCUUAUAUUUAAUUCAAUCACUUAGUGAAUUAAAACCUCAUUUUAAUUCACCUUUCUUCUUUGAUGACUACAUUUAAUCAUCUAGAAGAACUCACAAGCUAUGAGUGACAUCUAACCAUAUGUCAUAGCUACCCAAGCUAAUGUAGAAGUUUAUUCGAAGAACCUAGUCAGUUGGAAUUACAAUGUAAUUCAAUCCUUCUCUAAUACAAUACUCUCAAUCACAUCAUUAGGGUAUGGAUAUAUCAUGUCAAACCCCUAAUGUGAUUAUUCCUUCAUAUAUGAUUCAUUUGAGUCGUAUAGGAACACUUUCCUUUCAAUACGCUCGAUACUUCGGCCGAAGAUUCCCGAAUCAUAUCUUAGAGUAUUCUUCCUCUCUUAUCGAGGAUUAGAGAUUCCUUGUUGCGCAUACACUUGCCUUCAUGACUAAGUGGCUUAACCCCAAUUAUGCCGUGGACACCCUCGAAUGGGGAGACUUUGACAUAAUCAAAGAUUAAGUACUUAACCACAAGACAACGACGAUGCCUCAGGUCUAAGGAUUACUUACAUCUUUCCAACCAUUAGAGUUACUUGCUUGACAUGUGAGUAGAUCUCCAUGCAAGUACUCUCGUUCGAUUGUGUUCAGUGAACUCAUUCCCUUAAUGAGCACCUACAUACUUGUCUUAGUGUCACAACACGAAUGGGAUGAGACUUUCCAUCCUUCCAAUUGAAGCGGACACAGUAUGUACCGGUCUACGCAUUGUCAGUAUCCCUCCGACAAUCCAACGACCAGGAACCUUUUGGACAUAAUGGUUAUGUGAAGAAGGUCUCUGUAGUCUAACAUCAUUAGAUUACUUCUCCAAUCGAUCCAUUGUCCAUGGAUACACUAUUCAGGACAUAUAUCGUUUAUUGAGAUAGUCCUAAUUAGCAUCUUUGUCAUUUGAUGUAUAAGAAUCAUCCAUACAUCGAUUCAUUUGUCCUGAAAGAUUUCUUCCAAAGAUUGACUUUCAGGGCAUAUUUCCAACAACUACUACCAAGCCCAUCUCACAAUGAUAUGAUGUUGGCUAGCAUUAAUAAUAAUGAGAGAGUACGCUUACUCAUUUGCAUCUCUUGCAAGUACCCAUCUUAUUUGUCCUCUAGAGAAUGUUACCUCACAAUGAUAUGAUGUUGGCUCCAUUGCACUUAGUUAUGUCAUUCCCACCAUGCAAGUUCGGGUAGGUGUUCAAGAACAACCUCACAAUGAUAUGAUGUUGAUCAUUCUCGUUGCCUACGUCUCACAUCAUCAAGUAUGCAUAUAGACUCCUCCUGAGUGUAAGCACGCACUUUGUACUCCCCCAUGAUAGGGUGAAGCCGGUGUACGAGUCACAAACGAUCGGAGCCUACCACGGUGGAAGGCCACGAAAGAGUGUUCAAAGCACUCUCACGCUUAUCAACUUAAUAAUGGUUUGGUUGAGGGUUUUAGGUCUCAUCACAUAUAAAUAUUCAUUUUAAUCUUUAUUAAAACAAUUUUGGUCCUAUUACAACUAUUGGUCCAUUUGAUUGAAUUUAGUUGUAUAUAAUACUCCCACUAUGCUUAUAAAACAGUUUUUAAAGCAAGAGUAUAUGAUACUACUAACAUAAACUUUGCAUUCAUUUGAUGGACUAUAUAGAUGCCUUAGGGCCUUAGGAUGACUAUGAACCUUUGAUUAGAUUCAACACGAGCCUAGUGUUGAAUCUCGGUCUAGGGAUGGUGAUUGAUUUUAGUUACGCGUUUAAUCACAUUAAGGCGUGUUGUCUUAGGGGCGUUGGACCCAACUACUUCAAUUUCAUGCAUAUCAAAUAAAGCAAGAAAGAAGUACUUCAAAGUAAAGAUGAGCUUAUGCUCUUUACAACAUUUGAAUGAUUCAAAUUACUUUAAAGUAAAGAAGAGCUUAAGCUCUUUUACAACAUUUGAUCAAAUCAAAUUACAACCAAAAUCUAAUCUACACAUUCCUAUGGUUCAAACAAAUUUGAAACGGCCUUUCACAUAGCUCAAUUAUCGUAGGCUUAGGUUCAUAAUCACCCUUUAAUUAAUUAACGCUUUAACUAAUUAAAUUGAAUGCAACAUUUUCAUUUGGUUUUUGUAUCCAUAAAAUUGAUUUAAAUGGAGCUGAAUGAAAUGAAAAUCCAAUUCUCAUUUAAAGAGACAAAACAAUUUUGUUCUCAACCUAAUUUGGGCCAAAAUGCAAUUACCACAACUUUUUGGGCUAUAUUGCAAAAACACAAACUUUUGGGGUUACUUUGUAAAAACACAAAAGUCCACUACUUCAUGUAAUUACAACUAGAACCCAAAAAUUCAACAAAUAUAAAAACUUCAUUAAAGGAGCAAAACAAUUUGUCCUUUGGCGUUUUUAGGCCUUAACGUCAAAACGUAAACUUUCAGGUCAAAAUACAAAUACACAAAAGUAUCAAAACUUUAUGUAAUUGCAUAAAAGCCCCAAAAAUACCCUAUUUUAAUAGGGUGGCCGGUUUUAGGGAAAAAAAAGAGAAGAGAUAAGUCCACAAAAAUUUGGAAAUUUUUCAACAAUGUCAUAAAGCCUUGCAAGUGGAAUUUGGUUGGUGUGAAUCAUAAAACCAUGCAAGUGGAAUUUGGUUGGUGUGUGUGUAAGAGAAGUACUUCUUACACACCCAUCACCAUUUCUAUCACCUUUCAAAAUAAAUGUCUUGUUGAUAGAAAAUUCACAUCAACCAACACAAAACAAAGACUUUAUGAAAUCAACCAAAACUUUGAAUCAAAACACCAAACUUUUUGUUCUUGACUAAAAUGUCAAGAAUAAUGAAGAACAUUCAUGAAAAACCCGUAAAAGCUUCAUGAACAUUUUUCAUCCAAAGACAUCCCAAAAACACUCAAACUUAAGGGAAAUAACAUAUAACCAAACUAGGGUACAUAGGGGUUCCAAAAGUUACUUGAAAACACUUUUAACAAGUCAAACAAGAACCCAAAAAAUCACCCUUUGGAUUUGGCCGAAAAUCCCCAAAAACUUGGCACCAAAUUUUAGCUCCAAUAUUCAUGCUCAUAUGAACUACAUCUACAACAUUUGAGAUGGCAAAUUUUCUAACAAAAUUUACAUUCAAAGAAACAAGAAUAAAGCUUGUAACAUAUUACAACUUUUAAAUCAAAACUAUGAACUACAAAACCCAAAAGGAUUCACCAACUACUAGACCUAGGCUCUGAUACCACUUGAAGGAAAUUUAGUGAAAAACAUGUUCAUUUAAGCAACAUCUAUAGCAUGCAAUUAACAAUUAAAAGGCGGAAUCAUGCUUGUAUGCACUUAAAACAAAACAUUAACCAUGAAAUUCAAAGCCUAGUAGAUUGGUGAACCAAGACUCAACUCAAAUCAAAGUGAGUUGAGAAAUUUAUACCUUUGUAGAUUCCUCUUUGCAUAAGCAAAGGCUAAUCACCCAAGGAGAGGGCCUUCAUUCCUUGCUUCUUAGAUCCAUGGAUUUGGAUGGAUGAAAUGGUUCUCCAAGUUCCCAAAAUUGAGAACCUCUAAGUCUCUACACCAAGGUUAGAUUGGAGAAGAAAUGAGUGACCUUGGAGGAGUUGGAUUGCUAGCUAAUCCCUCCAAGGGGGCCGGCCUCUUUAGAGAGAAAGGGAGAGACAUGUUCUCUCCAAUUUUUCUCCAAAAGAAACCCUUAAUGAAUUUAGGCUAUAAAGUGCUUUAUAUAGUCCCUUCAAAUAAGUGACCUAAAGAACCAAAAAGCCAUUCUUUUAACAUGGCCGGCAAAUUGAGGGAUUUGGGCUUUUGGGCCCUUGUGAAUCUUUAUUCAUUAAGUUGUCAUACAACUUAAGUCCAUGGGCUUUGACGUUCGAAGCCCAUUGGGCCUUAAGGUCCAAAACUAUCCCGAGGUCUUCAACGAACUUAUUCGUUUGAUUAAUUAACAUAUUAAUUAAUCCUUGGCAUAAAUAAUUAAACCAUUUAAUUAUUCUUACUCAUCUCCAUUGUUUCUUCAAUCUCCACCUUACACGGUGUACGAUCCAUUAGGUUCCUUUUAGCGAGGCAGUGGGCGAUUAAAACCAUUUCAAAUCGAUUGUGAAUUGAAACUUACUUUCAAUUCUCCCUUUAGUGAUUAUACACGUUUAGGGCUUCCACAAAUCAUGAGUGACACCUAGCAGCAUAUCAUGGUUACCCAAGCUAAUUAGAAGAGGUGGAGAACCUAUUCAGUUUAGGAUUACAAAUGCAAUACGGUCUUUCUCUAAUACAAUACUCUUGACCACAUUGUUUGGUUUGAUAGUUUAUUCAUGUCUACUAUCCAAUGUGAUUCGUGUGCUUAUAUGAUUACCUUGAAUGUGAUUUGGAACGACUUCCUAAAUCUCAUUCAUACUCUGGCCAGAGAUUCUUAAUCAUAUCAUAGAGUAUUCUCCCUCAAACGGUUUGAAGGUUAGAGAUCCCUUGUUGCGCAUUCACUUGCCUCCAUGGCUAAGUGGCUUAACCCCAACUAUGCCGUGGACACCCUCGAAUGGAGUGACUUUGACAUAAUCAAAGAUCAAGGACUUAACCAUAAGACAACUAUGAUGCCUCAGGUUAAAGGACUACUUUGCAUUAUCCCAACCAUGAGUUCUCAUGUGACAUGAAUAUGAGAACUCUUCGUUGAUCGUGUUCAGUGAACUCAUUCUCUAUUGAGCACCUAUGUACUUGUCUUGAUGUCACACACACCAAUGACUCGAGACUAGUCACUCUCCCUGAGAGAAGACACAGCACGUACUGAUCUUAACGGACUGUCAAUGCCCAAUUGGCAAUCCUAUGAUUAGGAACUUUUAGGAUAUGUAUACGAAAGAAUGGUCUCAUGAUCUAACUUCUUUAGAUUGCAUUCUCCCAAUCACAUAUUCCUUGGGCUUAUCGUUUAAGCAUAUAACAUGUAUAUGAGACGACUCAAACAAUAACCUUUUGCCCUUUAUAUUUAAACUACAUUAGUUUAACUUGUGAAAUGUCCGUAAAGUAUCAUCAUAUGAUUGGUUUUAGGGCACAUUUCCAACACUGAAAAGUAGUAUUCUAUGUAGACUUUAGGAUUUUCUUUGUUUUCCUUGUUGUUUUUUCUUUACUUGAACUCCUUCAGUCUUUUCUAGUCGUUUAUCAAUUUGGUUAGAAAAUUUAAUAAACUUGCUUCCUUCGCUUUUUUCCAUCUUCGCUUCUUUUUUUUAUGCCCUAACCUUUAAACUUUACAGACCAGCGGCAUGCAUGCUAUUUUUCUAUAAGUAGACAUGCCCGCGUGGCCUAUGCCCGUAGGUGUUGGUUUAGUACUUUGCAAAGUUAUGAGCCAUAGGGUCGGCAGUUGGACGUCUUACUUAUAGAAGCAGACAAGUUUGCAUAACCACUAUGUUGUUAACCUUGUCUUUCUCCAAUUCCAUAGGUUGUGUAGCAAGUAUCACAACACUUUAGGACUUAGUGUAGGUUGUUCCGCCCUUGGCAGAGGUGAAGCUUGUCGACUAUGUAGCAAGUCGGCAGUGGAUAAAGCUUCGUAUAUGCACGCUGACUUGUUUAACCUUUCAUAAGAAUGUGCGGUUGUAUAAGUCUAGUGUUGUUUUACUACUCGAAGGGCAAGUCAUAGGUAGUCUUCCAGAAACCAUAAGCUACCUUAGUGCACUCGAUAGCAACUUUAGGGUUUCAGGGCAGCCGUCCAUAGGGUGUACUACGUAAUGUGCCCCUCUGUCUCUAGGGCCCGGUUCCUUGCGGAUUAGGUCAAGAGACCCAAAAUCCUUCAGUUAGCUAAGUGUUGAAAAAGACCAUUAUGGCUACUUCUAGGAAUCCCGGUGCAAGCCAUUGUGCAUCUAGUUAUACUAAGGCAGCCCGGCUCAUCCACGUUUGGAUAUUCGGAGUGUAGAAUUUAAUCUCCUGCUUUGGAGAGCAGACCCAUAUGGGUGUCAGGGAAUUGGUUUACUGUCUCACAUUGGAGAGCAUGGUUGGUCCCCAAGGGGCGCAGUUCCUGCGAUGAGUCCCUAAUAAGGGUGUGGUCUUCUUUUGAAAAGCAGGAGUGAUCAGUUGUUGUAAGCAUGCAGCCAAACCAAGUUGUAAAUUACUUAUGAAUUUCUCAUUGAAAAACGAGUGAAACAAACGAAAAUUUAGCUAUAAAGUAGAAACUGCAUAACAACUGGAUAGUCUUCGCCUUGUGAGGUGGUGCUCGUUGAGCUACUUGAGUCUUCAAGCAUUGAUGUAGUAGAAGUUCACACAUAAUACUUCCUCAGAUUGUUAGCGUUCCACUGCUUCUCAAUCUCUUUAUCGUUCUGAUGUAAAAUAUUCUAACACUCAAAUUAAAACCUUAUGAUUGUAGUAUAUGAAAGUAGGGAUCGUUUUAGGCCGAGGAUUAGAAGGGCUGCUAAUCUACACAAAUUAAACUCUAAAACACUAAACUAGACUAAAAAACACAAAACUAGACUCUUAUGACUCAAAACUGACUCAAACUACUUAAAACAGCACAACAAAACAAGCAAAAUGACUCCAAACUAACACUAAGGAUGACUUUGGACGAAAAUUGAUUUUAACUUGACUCGAAACACUUAAAAACACUUAAAACCACAAAUUGGACAUAUUCUAACUAACUUGACAUAGCAAAGUAAAAGGGAUUGGGUUUUUGAUGAAUUUAAAGUAAAACCAAACAGAUUUAAGACUCUAAAUAACUUUGGACGAAAUUGGUGAUUUAAUGGGUGAAUGGCUAGCUAGAGGGUUCUUCUCCACACAUGACACACUUGCAUACAAAUUGAUUUCCAGUUUCUUUUCCAAUAAACAAUGAACCUCAAUGCCCCAGAUUAACCGUGAAAACCACUAAUUAACCCUCAAAUUUUCGUUACGCCAUUGAAUUGGAUAGACAACGCAUCGGCAACCAAAUUAUUCUUCAAUAGUUGCCUACAUGAACAACAUAAUAGAGAUACAAUUAAAGAUCAUUAAGCUUUGUGAAAAUCAUAAGCAUUGACAAUGCAUUCGUAACUAUUAUUGGAGAACAAUUCAGAAAUAAACAAAAAUAAUAGAAAUUCUAAUAUUUUAUUAACCAAAAUAUACUUGCUAUACAAAACGAAAAUUACACAAUAUAUAUAGAAAUUAAUGUUACUAACUUGAUUACAGAAGGUAGAGGCUAGCGUAAAAGCUAUGUCCUUCGAACAGUUUUUUCGUCCCACUCCUGUGCUUGUGGUUCUAUAACGUCUGCUCAAUCAGGAUUCAACUACCUAAUUCUACAAUCCGCACCGGAUUCUAGAACUCUAGCGAAUUUGCUUUUUGUGUGUUUACUCUCUAGAAAUUUCGUAUAGAAGGAAAGAGCAAGAAAAGAUGAUCCAUUUGGAAACUGUAAUUGCAGAUAUAUAGGUUGUUUCACACCCUUUCAAAUACAUGUUCAGUGUAUUUGAAGGUACACAACUCUUUCUAAGAGCUGUGUCUUUUAAUCAAAACGUUUUUAAUUAAUAAAUUAAUUAAAAACUUAAUCCGAAAAUUAAAAUUAAUGAAUCAGAUUAAUUUUAAAUUCCAAGGCCCCAAGUGCCCCAAGGCCCUUGUCUUGAUUAAUUAAUAUUAAUUGUAUUUAGGCUAUAUUAUAUAAGCCUAAUCCACACAGCCAUAAGGCCUAAGUCUUCAAUCCAUUUCCAAAUAGCCCAUGUUGUAAUUACUAGAUUAAAGCAUUAAAUCUAUAUAAAGGCCCUUUGGAAUCUUGUUUUCUCUAAUGUGGGACAAGAGUCUCAAAACUUCCAACAACUAUGACACCAUGAUACUCCUGCCAGGAAUUCACUUAACACGAUUGUGACUAGCAAACUCCACUACUUGUGAAUAUAAGUUCAUAACUAUUAGGUGAAAUUCCCUUAUAUUCUAGCAUCAAAUCCCUGCAUGUAAACUAAGUGUGCACCCUUAAUCAACAAACAAGAAUAAGUUCUGAAUCAAACAGUUAAGUAAAUUGCAUUAAUGAUUCAUGAAAUCACAACUGGAAGUAAUCAAUUCAUAUUGCAAAUAUGUUCAUGGCUUUGAAUUUCCCCCUAGCUAAAACGAGUUUAGCUCCUCAUGUUUGCAAUUAAACAAAGACAAUUAAAUUUAAACAUUGAAAACAAAGAUAGAAUACAACUAGAAAUGCUCCAACAAUCCAACAUCUUGAAUGGUAAGCACGGCUCCAAGGUCUCCUCUCCUUUCUCUUUGCAAAGAUGCGGCAAUAAAGGGAUGAAUGUGUAUGAUGGAUGAAGGGGACGGAUUUGUGAUGGAAGGUGGUUAAUUUCUGAGUCCUGCGGCACUUUAUAUUUAUAGGGAGAAUGUAAGGUACGGCUAGGGUGAGUAGGAAGAUAAUUAGGACUCCAAAUCAUCAAGGAAUAAGGAUACUUCUAAUCAAAUUUCAGGGAGGAAAAUAAUUAAUGUGUUUAGAUGGAUUUGGACUCCUAAAUUCAGAUGUAAAGGAUUUAGAAUAGGAUAAGGACUCCUUUUGCAGCUAGAGAUACGGUAGGAUAAGAUUAGGAUAUGAUAAGAUAAGGUUAGUUUGGAUAAGAGAAGGUUAGUUUGGAUAAGGUUUUGGAUAAUGUUUCUUCUUUUUGGCUGAUUCCUUAUCUUCUUUGUCUUGAAUUCAUUCUUCCAGAUUUGUAGCACAUUCCUAGCCUCUUGAACUUCAAAAAAGUCCAUCCACCUUGCUCCACUCAUGUGCUAUCCAUUCUUGGCCAAAAACUGCUCCAAAAUGCUCCAAAUUGCACUUUCUUGCCAACUUUGUUUAAACCUGAAAACACACAAAAAUAGCUUAAAACACUAUAAUAAAUAAGAGCUAACAGCAUAAAUGCAAGAAAACAAGCUAACUAAGUCGCAUAAAUAUGCUCCUAUCAAAUUCCCUCACACUUAGCUUUUGCUAGUCCUCAAGCAAAACGAAACAAACAAAACAAAACAUAAGCUAGACCUUCCAACAUUCCCUCAGGGAUUUCUAAUGAAACAUGACAUGCUAAAAAUCACUACUCCCACAGAUUUUAGUUAUCCUUACUCUCGAGAGCAUACUUAAUCACAGUUACCACUCACUAGCUCGCAUUUAAUCAAUUUAAAACAUGGUUUUGAUGGUUGUAACAUGCCUUAGAAAAUUCCCUCAAUUCCUCACGGGAUAUCAUAUAUACUAAACGUGAGUUUCCCUUGGCACUGUAGAUCGCCAGUGUCCGGACGGAACUGCCCUCGCUUCUCUGUUAUCUUUCCGUUUGUGUCCCUAUUUUCCACGCGUCGCUCAUUUUAUUCUCUUGACUUCGAGAGUCCUUAACGAGUUAAGGCUUUGUUCCUUCGUUGCUUUUCCUAAUUUUGGCUUUUGCUCAUUUUGUUUUGGCCGUUCUUUCUUCCAAUCCUCUGUUUCCCUGUGAUAUCUGUGCUUUCUUUCGCGGAAAGGGUUGUUGAUUUUCGUGGUUUAAAGGAUUUUGUGGUUGCCGGGCCGUUGUGCGUCUAUUUAGAUUUGGGAUUUUUUGCGUUCCGAGGGUUUCGACGUCUCUAAUUGGGGUAAAGAAUUCUUGCUGUUUCCCCUUUUUUCCGUUUGGGAUUUCUGGGUUGUGGCUGGGUUUUUGGCCGAUUUACACCUCUUUUCAAGGGUGGCGUCUUUGCAGCCUACUGUGGAACAAGUGUGAUCCAACUAAGGUAUAUUUUAUAAUCAUUUCUUUUGGUUUUUAUUUUUGGUUUUUCCUUUGUUUUGAUGAAACCUUAAUCGUUUCCUUUUAUUGUCAAUUGUGGUGCUCUCUUGGGUUUUCCCUGUUAGAGGAGAAUUUUUCGUUUUUGUUCUUCAGUUGGUAUAUCUCUAAUUUGCUGGUAUUUGCAACGUUGCUGUAAUUUUUUGGGUAUUUUUUUGCACUUCUGCUUCGGACAUGGAUUGGUAAUUAUUGGAUUUAAAUGGAUUCGUAGUUUUUGAUGAGAGGAGUUGUUGAGGUUGUGUGAAGGUUUGUUUUUCUGGAUUUUAUGCUGCAAGGGGUUACAAACACGGAGAUGAGGAGAGGAAACAUUAGUUUAGAUUGUGAGCUUUUUUUUUUUUUUUUUUUUUAUAUAUAUAUAUAUGUUCUUGGUGAUAUAAACUGUGUGAGUGCAGUUGUUUUAAAAUUAUUCGUGUGUGCUUUUUAUGGUUUUGCUUUUUUCCAGUUUGGAUUAAAAUGGAUUUUGAAUUUUUGAGAAGAAAUUAAAAGGGUUGUUGGAAUUUUGGAAGCCUUGUGUUUUUGGUGAACACGCAGACAAUCUUGAAAAUUUGUGUUAAAAGAUUAAUGUUUGUAUAUAAAAAUUGCAACCAUGUGGUAAAGAACAAUGGUUCAUUAAGCUAAAUGUCAAUGGACUAAUCCAUGUGUUGACUGUGUUGAAAGGCACAAAUUUUUUUGACAUGUUUGGGUUUCAUCUCAUGUGGAUUAGUGGAAAAACAAAAUGGUAUUGCUCUGACAGAUUGUUGGUCGCUUACAGGUCUGAAGACUAAUAUUACGAAUCGUGAUUCUAAAUCAGCUUAUCCUUAGUUCACAAAUACCAAGAUCGUUAUUUAUCUGUGAGUACAUGUGAUUUAUGAAUUGACAUUGUCCCUGGGUUUUUUGUACUAAAUAAAUUUCUAUAAUUAGUUUGGUGUUUUCAUUUCGUUUGCUUAUUUGAUUUUCUAUUGGACCGCAUGGAUUAAGUUGCAGACAGAGAUAGUAAACUCUGUUUCAUGCUCUUUUUGGGUUUUGGCUGCUUUAGGUUUGAUUUGAAAGAAACUCAGAAGAAAAAAAAAAUGAAGGGCGGUGAUGUAGAAUGGUUAAAUUGCAAUUUCAGUUUUACAUACUUAAACUUAAGAUGUGUGCGCUGCAAAGUGAGUUGGCAAAAGAAGCCCUUUAGACGCUUUUUGUUAAUAUCUCAUAGGCUUUGCUGUUUGAUUUCAGAAAUUUUAUGCCCAUCUUGGGCUCGCUUCGAACUUGGUUGAGACCGAUCUAAUCCGGCGUUUCCAGGUGAGUUUUGCAUGUUAAUCAGCUUAUAUGGUUUCGAUCUUUUGUUUUUCGUUGGAUCGUUAUUGUACGUGUCUGAUGCAUUUUGUUUUCCAGUUUCGGGAGACCGUUCCUUUUAGAUUUUUGGAUUUUCGAUUCUGAUUCUUGGAACUCUCUGUGCUAAAGGUAUAUAAAUGUAUUAUUUGUUUUUUCCUUUGUUUUCUUUGCGCCUGAAUUUCUUUUUUUUUGUUUUGUUUGGUGAUUUGGGACCUUUUUUGUGCUUGUUUGGGUUGUUAAUUGGUAAUGCAUAUUUUCUUGCUGAUUUUUGUGCUAGCAAUGUUAUUUAAAUCCACAGCUGCUUUUUUUCAUAUGACUUGCUGUGAUGGUUAUGCUUGAUUCAUAAGAUUUGAGGUAGUCGUGAUAAAAUUAGAAGAGUGAUAUCUACGUUAUUUUGGAUUUGUGAGAGUGAUUUGUCAGAGCAAUGAGUAAAUUUUCAUAUGUAGUGUAGGGUCAAGUUUAAUAAUCAUUAAUGCGAUUUGGUAUAUGUCUGGUAGAAAUGCUAUCAAAUUGUAGAUACACAGUUUGUUGGUGUGCAGCAAGGGGCUGGAAAAUUUUUUCAGUAUGUUUUUUAUGGUUUGGCUUUUUUCUGUUGGGCCUUUCCCGGCUAAAACAGUAUUUUGCAUUUUGGUUGCUCAGUUAAUAAAUUUGAGAUCUGCUGGCACCUGUGACGCUCUUCAGUUUUAUGUCCUGCUUUUUUCCAGUUUUAAAAUGCAUUGAUAAUUGUUGGAUUCAAAUAGAUUUAUAAUUUUUGCGAAGAAAUGAGAGGAUUCGUUGGAAUUUUGGAAAGCUUUGUCUUCAUGUUUUACAAACAGGGAGAGGAAGAAAGAAAACAUUAGUUUAGAUUGCAAUUUUAAAACUUUUUAUGUUGUUAGUGCUGGAAUCAAUGUGUUUUGUUGCGAAAUUGAUAAUGUGUAAAGUUAUUAGAAUUUUGGAAAACUUUGUCUUUCUCACUUUUAUCUGGCAGAGGGAACACAACUCUUACGUAUAUGAUUUCAAGUUUUUCCUUUAGAAAUUCAAGCUCUAUUGGAUACAUGAGGUAUAAGAGUCUGUUUGGGAUAUUUUCAAGUUGUACUGAUUCCUGAAAAAAAAACCAUGCUUAAGAGUAAUCAUAUUUCAGUUUUUAUUGAAUUCAGGUAACCAUCUUCAGUUUUUUGCUUUGAUCUGAAGGCUUUGUUUUGUUCAGAUAUCAAAAUUGGGCAUGAGUUCAUAUGUUUUUCAAUGUUUUUAUUCCGAUUUAAUAAUGUGAUUUAAUGGUGCGAUGCUGAUUUAGGCUAUAAAUACAGAGGCUUUUCAAUAGGCAAGUUUGCAACAUGGAAUUCAUAGGCAGUUGUAUCAUUAGAUGAAAUAUACUAGAUCUAAUCCUUAGACAUCAUUUUUCACUUUGAUUAAGAUGUGUGCCUGCCUUCUCAGUACAAAACUGCCUUACAUAUCAUUUUUUAAGCAUUUUUACAUCUAAUAUUUUCAACACCCGUAGCAACGUGCAGGCACUAUUGCUAGUACUCUCUAUUUUCACACAGAUUUCCUAACUACUCCCUAUACUAGGUAUAUGUGAGAAGAUUUAUGUAAACAUGUAGACUAGCACUCACAUACGUUAUAAUCAAAGAAGGCAAUUUCUGUAAUUAUUAAUGCAUGUAUAUAUGAUCUCAUGAACGGAAUGCCACUACUUAGACGCAAGAACCAGGGAUUCCAUAUGCUCGUACAAAUUUCAAACUCGACAGAUUGAAACACACAACAACCAAAAUAGAAGUCUAAGGAUUGUAAUGGGGCUAAGGGUAUUAGCUAACAAAGAAAGGUCAAGGAUAAACAAGGGUUCUUAAAGCAAUAGUAAGCAAAAAUAAUGAAAUUGACAUUUAGAAUUUACUAUUGAAUGCACCAACUAACUUUAAACACAAGGGGAAUUCGUACACACUUAGGGUCUUAUUCAAACUUUUUGGACCAUUUUUUCAACAACCAAUACUUGUGAGUUCAUUCUCACUUAUUUCACAACUUUUUUUCCUUUCUUUUUCCACCUUUUCUUCUUUUCAUGAUUUUUUUCUAUAUGUUUUUUCUUUUCUCGUGCCGUACUCAUUCUUUGGCACAUAAAACGUACAACCCAAUAGAUUUGCAACGAGAAACCUUCCAGCACACUUAUUUUCUGCAAUAUGUUGAUCAAAAGGAAUUCCCUCUAAAUUAUGCUUCACUAUCCUUUAGGAACAAGGGUAUGGAUAGUCCUAUUCUAGGCUAGCUUGGGAUAGGCCUGGCAAACGGAUUGUGUCUGUCGUGUUCGUGUUGUUUUCAUGUAACACCUAUUAUCUUAAUGGGUCGUGUCGUGUCAAACCUGUUAUCUUAACAGGGGUAAAGUGAUCCGACCCGUUAUAACCCGUUAUGACCCGUUAAGAAAAAUAUAUAUAUAUAUUUUUUUAAAUUUGCACAUACCACACUUUGCCACAUAAAUAUUACUUCAAAACAUUAAAACACAUGAUUUAAUAUAUAUAUAUAUAUAUAUUAUAUAAUUGACACACCCCGAUCCUAGAAUCAAGGCGUGCUGGCCGUCACGUGAGCGUGAGGUAGCCAAAAGUGUGACACGGAAGCAAGAUAUAACAGAAAUAUGAAUGAAUUUAAACCAACCACUAGCAGAAUAGCCUACUAGCAUACAAGAGAGAGUUAUAAAGUAAAACACACGAAUUCAGAGCGUAGGUAUAAGUGCAGUCAAGUAGGACCAUAAUUAAAGUACAACACCCGCAGGUGAGUCCUACAUGCAGAACGUCUGUCAGAAUGCCGAAAAAGACCUCGUGAGCCACCAACUGCUAACUAGAACCUGGAGGGGCGCAAAACAAAGAUGAGUGGGUCAGUAAAACCAAAGAUUUUCCAAAAACAUUUCAUUUAAAACGUUUCUAACCCCUCACUGUAAAACCUGUAUACUUUCCCACAAAAAUAGUAUAUAAACGUAUAUAUACAUAUAUCAUCAAAACUCCGCUCACCAUCUAUCAACAUAACAUCUCAGAAAGAAUAUGCCAUGCCAUGCCAAAAUAUAAUAUGAAUGCAUCAAUAUAACUCAGGUGAAAUAAUAAAUCAACCGGAGACCCUACAGUGGUCCUGUACGGCUGAUUCUAUAGCUCACUAUCCCAUCCAGCCGGAGUCACCAACUGUGACCUGUACGGUACUACACUACACAUAAGUCGGAACUACCUAUAGUAGUCUGUACGACUAAGAUGGUGAAAUAAUACGCUCUAGUGCUUCUCUCAUCAAUCAUCUGUGCACAUAAUCUAAGGUCACCUACCAGUCGGAACCCCUCUAAUGGUAUGUACGACUGGCAUGUCGGAACCACCUCUAGUGGUCUGUACGACAUCCACCUACUUGGAUCCAAGGCGAGCAUGCGGUGUGGUGAAUAAUAUAAGCACUAACACCUAGGGUGCAGGUUAUGAGCUUCCAAUGCAAUUCACAUAAAAUAAAUCGUAUGAAUAAUGUAAAAACUCACCUGUGCGUCAACAGCGUCAAUUCACAUAUAUAUGCAUCAAUUAUCAAUUCAAAUAUCUCAUCGAUUGCAUGCAUGGCAUUUUAAAACAUAUUUUCAUAUAAUUGCAUUUUCUGGGAAAAACAGUAGUAUAUAGGUAAUACGAAAACAAAACUAGCCACUCACUGAUAAGUCGAUGGGUCGUAACCCCCGUGACGUCCCUGGAUGUGCUCGUCCUCGGGAUAGGUGUCACCUAUAUGCGAAACAACUAUAAAAACGUUAAUUUAAACACAUAACCAACAAUUCGAAAUAACUUCUCAUACAAUGCUCAAUUUGGGUAUAUGAAUAUACCACAUCGACCUACUCGACGUCACGGACGUCGAGGAUUUUUAGAAAAAAAUUUAGGCUUGCCACGUGCCCUCACGCGCCGUGGGUGGCAUGGGCCUACGCGCCCCCACGAGCAUCAUCUUCCUCAGCCAGUCGCCGGACUGGUUUUUUUUUUCCGGUGGCCGGAUUCCGGCGAGUUUUAAAAAUGCUUGUUCUCCUUCGUUUCUCAACCGAUUUCUUUGAAUUUUAUAUCAAUUUGAAGCCCUCAACAUGUAGAAUCACGAUGGACUAGUUUCAAGGUCUAAAAUUCACUAAAUUUUACCUAGGGAAGCACGAUAGUUCGGAAAUUUUUGAGAACCUCCGUUCUCGGUCCUCCGACAUCCAAAUAUCACCAACGAAGUACCCCGAAGCUCUUGAGGAUGUCCUUAAGCUCACUGUGAGCUUGAAAUUCCUUGAAAUGCAAGAUUUCACGUGUGCAUGAACAGUGCACAUUUUUGGGGUUAGGGUUUCACGACGAUUCCGAGGGUUUCACUUCCUAAAACUAGUACCAAUCAACUCAGAACAUCAAGAGGGUGAAGAAUAAUACCUUAUUUGCUUCGAUCCAUGAAGUUUUGGAGGGUUUUGGUGUUGUCCGUACGAUCGAGGGUGAGAGAGAGUGAGAAAGUCGUGAGGGAGGAGAGAGAGAGACACGGGGAAGAGGGGGAAGGAAAGGUAAGUCCGUGUGUGAGGGUGUGGUCCAACCAAAACAAUCCCACUUCAAUCCCUAACCACACAAAUUUACAACUCAAUUUUCUCCAAAAGUUUAGGGAUGAUAAUUAGUCCAUAAAAUAUAUACAUAUGUCAAACACGUACCUUAAUACCCGUCAAGGGUAUUUUCGUCAUUUCACGCUCCCGAUAACAAAAUUUCGGGACGGGCUGUGACAUAAUUAUUUUAGUUUUUAGGGGUAUAAAAUUGUCAAAUUAAUGUAUAUAAUUAUUAUAGUUUAUUCAUACUCAUUAAGUAUAACAUAAUAUGUUGUGGUAUCCACUAGUGUAAUUUUUUAAAUUGAAGAUCAAAUUCAUUCAUUGUAUUCAUAUAGGAUCAAGGAGUGUAGCUAUAAAAAUCAUCAAAAUCAGAGUUAAAAUAGCCGUUAAAUCAUUAUUUUUCUUUUUAUAACCAUAGAAAUUUUUUGUCUCGUUACUUGAUCUUUGAAUGUUUGUUUUUUACAAUUUUUGGCGUAUGCGAUCUCGAAGUAUAUACAAACAUGUUUGACGUUUGGAUCGUUGAAACUAGUUUCGUAGAAUGCGUAUCCCAUCUAAACAAUAGAUUUACUAACACUUAAGAGUUUAUUCAUACUUUCAUUAAGUAUAACAUAAGAUUUUGUGGUAUCCACUAGUGUAAAUAUUUUAAAUUGAAGAUCGAAUUCAUUCAUUGUAUUCAUAUAGGGUCAAGGAGUGUAGCUGUAAAGAAUCAUCAAAAUCAGAGUUAAAAUAACCGUUAAAUCAUGAAUUUUCUUUUUAUAACCGUCGAAAGGUUUUGUCUCAUUACUUGAUCUCUAUAUGUUUGUUUUUUUGCAAUUUUUGGCGUAUGCGAUCUCGAAGUAUAUACAAAUAUGUUUAACGGUUGGAUCGUUGAAACUAGUUUUGUAGAAUACGUAUCCCAUCAAAACAAUAGAUUCACUAACACUUAUGAGUUUAUUCAUACUUUCAUUAAGUAUAACAAGAUUUUGUGGUAUCCACUAGUGUAAAUAUUUUAAAUUGAAGAUCGAAUUCAUUCAUUAUAUUCAUAUAGGGUCAAGAAGUGUUGUAAAAAAUCAUCAAAAUCGGAGUUAAAAUAACCGUUUAAUCAUGAUUUUUCUUUUUAUAACCGUGUUGACCCUAAAAUCUACCAAGCCUACGUGGCGCGCAGGCCGAGUAUAUUCUAAGCUAACUACGUCCUUCGGUGAUUGCGGGGCGUGCCAACUCGUCGGCCGAGCUCGGCCGAGGAGUAAAUUUGAUGAUGUUGCGUUGAGCGCGCUGCUGACUUCUGUGUCUUGCGAUUGCGGCCGAGGAAGGAACAAUUCUCGGCCUCUUGGGUUCUAGAGCCUGAAGACAAGGCUGCUAAUUUGCGAAGUUCAAUCUCAAAUUCGGCUGUCAAUGUGCCGAAUACAGUAACCUGGUAACACCCCACUUCGCCGAGAAGGCUGAUGAGAUGACCUCGACCAAUGAGGAUUCGGAAAUCCUUCUCGACCGAGACUUGGAUAGGUAACCAGUCGUCCUCGCCGUAGUGCUGUUGAUGCCAACGGAAGAUGCUGCGAGAUCGGCUGAUUCUACGGUGACAGAGCUAUCUAUGCCGACUUAAGAUAUCACGGUUGCCUUCACAGUGCUGUUGAUGCCAACGGAAGAUGUGUCGGCGAAAAAAGAAAAUAAAAAAUCUCAAGGUGUUGAGAAAGUUUGCGCAGGGCAGUUUUGUGUGUGUUGGAGAGGUCCUCUUGAAUGAUGCACAUCCUCCUCUAUUUAUAGCACUAGAUACCUUUGAAGUCGAGUCAAAACCCUACUCGAACUAGGUCUUCUUCUCCGGAUCAAACACCCACUCGACCAGUCCUAUGUUUACUAGGAUUGUGAGCCUAGUCCUCUAUUGAGCCGGAUUCACUUCCGGGUUAUUACCCUUGCCGAGACUACUUAUCGCGUUAGGACUCGACUAGUAAAUGUAAUAUGACCUAGCCGACCUAGGUUUAGGAGCCCACGUACUAAAUGAUCCAAGGCUCCCCUGUCGCCAGGCCUCCCGGGCCGAGAGUGGUUCUAUACUCGGCCCAACAUGUUAAUUUGAGCCCAAACACUCUUACUUGAGGAUAUAAUUUGCAUCAUAUCCAUCCCGUUUAAGAAUAUGUCAAGAUAAUUCAAAUUAAAAGAUAAUCAUGAUAAAAACCAUAAUAUUAUCUUUUAACAAAAAUAUUUUCACUUUUCCAUCCGACGGCUGAGAACUAUGUUUACUCUACGGUCUCGAUUACACGGGCCGAUGAUGUAAAUUUGGGUCCAAACAUUGCCCCCAGUUUCCUUGAACUUCGGCUCGUAAGCCGAAUGAUUAAGGAAAUUAAGUAUCUCCAGCCUAAUCAGAUGUACUUUUGACCGUCAUCCCUUGCUGCUGUUUACUCACGGCUCCUUUCGACCAAAGAACAACUCAUGGCCGAAGAUAAACAGUUAUGAACCAGGGUCGAGAAGAAUUGGAAUUGGGGUCGAGGAUAAAUUUGGCCGAGGUCGAGAAGAGUCUUUUCUUGGCAGCUCGGCUUGCCUACAUAUAUAUAUGCAUAUCAAACCCAUUGUCAGCAAUCAUGACUAUAUACAUAUAUAUAUAUAUAUAUAUAUAACCUCAAAACAGCAACCAUGACUUAUUCGGCCAAACUUUGACCCUAGCAUCUUCCUGAUUAAAUGGUUUUGAAACUUGUCCCCACACUUUAACCAUAGGCAUGGUACUAUUGAUAGCAGCGAAAAUAACUCUUCUCGGGUCGGCUUGUUUGUCGAGCUCGGCUAAAAACAAAAUGACCAAAAUUUUGCCGAGCACACCACUUGUUGCCCCUCUUAUUUUCUUAAGUAUCGGUCAAGGGCCGAAUGGUUAAGAAAAUAAUUUAUUAUAUAUAAUUAUAUUUUUAGCAAACGAAAAGAAAAGUGGCCGAAACGUAGUCAGGAGGAGGCCAACGAUGCUUUAUUCCAAGCCAAGAUCUUUUUACAUCAAAAUUUUCACUUUGACAUUUUCCAAAACCGAAUAAAAGAUCAUCUCCCAAUAUUUCUGACUUGGUGAAAUAUUUUGCAUUUUCGGCCGCCGAAUGUGUGGAACAAGUAUUAUGCCCCCCAGGCAUAAUUUCGGCGUUUAAUUCAAACAACUUAGCCGAAUAGGAUUUCUCCAUAUCGACUUUAUCGCCAAUAAUCAUAUCAAUUGGCGUAGAUUCUUGGGCUAGGCCAAUAUCUCGGCCUCGUUCGUCAUUGGAGCACUCCUCUGACGAAUCAUUUUCUGAGUCGAUUUGUGGCUCAGAAACUUUAACUUUUUCUUCUAGGCCUACCACACUUCCAGUCUCGACCGAAAAAAUAGGUGGCCUAGGUUUUUCUUCGUGGCCGACCAUAUCUUCAGCCUCGACCGAAAAAAUAGGUGGCCUUUGUUCUUCGGCCAAAUUAACAAUUUUCUUAGGCCGAUGUCUGAUUACGGCCGGAGCGAAAAAUUGCCCCCCGGCCUUUGAGCCUAACCAUUUUUCAAAUGGAAUUGAUCUGUAAUCAGAAACGUAAGGAAAAUUUUCUUCAUCUAGCCAGGCAUUAAAUCGAGCCCUGUCUUCAUUUACCCAUUGCCUUUGCAGGGUAACAUGAGCUUUUAUUCUCAACAUGCAAGCGAAUGACUUUUGCAUCUCUCCAUGGCCACGAAGAACUUUUUCCACUUCCAAAGAUCUUUUACAUUCCUCAUUGUGUUUUCUCAAUUCCUCUAGGAGCUCGUACAAUCGGCUACGUUGAGCCAGAUUGGAAUCUUGAUAUAUCAUAUGAACUUCGUAGUAUUAGCACUGGGUCCCACUGGGCGUGCCAAAAUGUUGACCCUAGAAAUUACAAAGCCUACGUGGCGCGCAGGCCGAGUAUAUUCUAAGCUAACUACGUCCUUCGGUGAUUGCGGGGCGUGCCAACUCGUCGGCCGAGCUCGGCCGAGGAGUAAAUUUGAUGAUGUUGCGUUGAGCGCGCUGCUGACUUCUGUGUCUUGCGAUUGCGGCCGAGGAAGGAACAAUUCUCGGCCUCUUGGGUUCUAGAGCCUGAAGACAAGGCUGCUAAUUUGCGAAGUUCAAUCUCAAAUUCGGCUGUCAAUGUGCCGAAUACAGUAACCUGGUAACACCCCACUUCGCCGAGAAGGCUGAUGAGAUGACCUCGACCAAUGAGGAUUCGGAAAUCCUUCUCGACCGAGACUUGGAUAGGUAACCAGUCGUCCUCGCCGUAGUGCUGUUGAUGCCAACGGAAGAUGCUGCGAGAUCGGCUGAUUCUACGGUGACAGAGCUAUCUAUGCCGACUUAAGAUAUCACCGGUUGCCUUCACAGUGCUGUUGAUGCCAACGGAAGAUGUGUCGGCGAAAAAAGAAAAUAAAAAACUUCAAGGUGUUGAGAAAGUUUGCGCAGGGCAGUUUUGUGUGUGUUGGAGAGGUCCUCUUGAAUGAUGCACAGCCUCCUCUAUUUAUAGCACUAGAUACCUUUGAAGUCGAGUCAAAACCCUACUCGAACUAGGUCUUCUUCUCCGGAUCAAACACCCACUCGACCAGUCCUAUGUUUACUAGGAUUGUGAGCCUAGUCCUCUAUUGAGCCGGAUUCACUUCCGGGUUAUUACCCUUGCCGAGACUACUUAUCGCGUUAGGACUCGACUAGUAAAUGUAAUAUGACCUAGCCGACCUAGGUUUAGGAGCCCACGUACUAAAUGAUCCAAGGCUCCCCUGUCGCCAGGCCUCCCGGGCCGAGAGUGGUUCUAUACUCGGCCCAACAUGUUAAUUUGAGCCCAAACACUCUUACUUGAGGAUAUAAUUUGCAUCAUAUCCAUCCCGUUUAAGAAUAUGUCAAGAUAAUUCAAAUUAAAAGAUAAUCAUGAUAAAAACCAUAAUAUUAUCUUUUAACAAAAAUAUUUUCACUUUUCCAUCCGACGGCUGAGAACUAUGUUUACUCUACGGUCUCGAUUACACGGGCCGAUGAUGUAAAUUUGGGUCCAAACAAACCGUCGAAAAGUUUUGUCCCGUUACUUAAUCUCUGAAUGUUUGUUUUUGCAAUUUUUGGCGUAUGCGAUCUCGAAGUAUAUACAAACAUGUUUGACGGUUGGAUUGUUGAAAUUAGUUUUGUAAAAUGCUUAUCCCAUCAAAACAAUAGAUUCACUAAUAUUUAAGAGUUUAUUCAUACUUUCAUUAAGUAUAACAUAAGAUUUUGUGGUAUCCACUAGUGUAAAUAUUUUAAAUUGAAGAUUGAAUUCAUUCAUUGUAUUCAUAUACGGUCUAGGAGUGUAGCUAUAAAAAAACAUCAAAAUCAGAGUUAAAAUAACCGUUAAAUCGUGAUUUUUCGUUUUAUAACCAUAGAAAAGUUUUGUUUGGUUACUUAAUCUCUGAAUGUUUGUUUUUUGCAAUUUUUGGUGUAUGCGAUCUCGAAGUAUAUACAAACAUGUUUGACGGUUGGAUCGUUGAAACUAGUUUCGUAGAAUGCGUAUCCCAUCAAAACAAUAGAUUCACUAACACUUAAGAGUUUAUUCAUACUUUGAUUAAGUAUAACAUAAGAUAUCCACUAGUGUAAUUUUUUAAAUUGAAGAUCAAAUUCAUUCAUUGUAUUCAUAUAGGGUCAAGGAGUGUAGCUGUAAAAAAUCAUAAAAAUCGGAGUUAAAAUAACCGUUAAAUCAUGAUUUUUCGUUUUAUAACCGUUGAAAAGUUUUGUUCGGUUGCUUGAUCUCUGAAUAUUUGUUUUUUGCGAUCUUUUAAUGAUGUGAUCUCGAAGCAUAUACAAACAAGUUUGACGGUUAGAUCGUUGAAAUUAGUUUCGUAUAAUUCGUAUCCCAUCAAGUUCAAUGGUAUAUAUAUAUAUAUAUAUAUUUAUUAAGUAGAUUUAAAUCUAUUUAUAUGUACGUAUAAUUAUUAUAGUUUUUAGGGGUAUAAAAUUUAAUUUAAAAUUAUAUAUAUAUAAUUAUUAUAGUUAAUAUUUUGCGGGUAUAAUUAUUAUAAUUAUUAUAGUUAAUUUAAUAUAUAUAUAUAUAAAUUAUAGUUUUUUUUAGGGUUAUAAAAUUAAUAAAUUAAUAUUCUGCUUAUUGUGUAUCGUGUUACUCACGUGUAUAGUCGAACCAACCCGUUAUCUUAACAUGUGCUUAUUGGGUUACCCGAUAACGACCCAAUUCGUUAUCGUGUCGACCCGAAUACCUGUUAAUUUCGUGUCGUGUCAUGUCGGGUUAUCUGGUCGUGUCAGAAAUUGCUAGGCCUAGCUUGGGAUAAUGUGGCUAACAAAGAAAAUAGGCUAAAUAAGGCUCAAAAGGGUUAAACCUACAAAACAAAGGCAUGGGAUGAAAGCUUUUUGGCUCUGGUUGUAACUACUAAACAACUUCAUCUUAUUAUAUGUUAUGCACUCAAUUUUAAGCUUUGAAUGAAACAGGCAUGAGUUUUAGUAUUUGGAACUAUAAUAAUGAAAACGCAUUCUAAGUAGCAACCAAGCAAAGAAUAAUGAGAUUAUGCAACGACUUUAGAAAAUAAGAAAUCACAGAUCAAUAACUUUCCAAAUAAAGUAUAGGCUCAAGUCUUUGAGGAUUGUAGCGUUAGUUUGAGUUCCUUCCUUCAAGCAUGUUACAAAAAAUGAUUUUGUACUUUGUGAUUACAUGUGAAUUCGUUAAUGACAAUUACAACCAAACAUUAACCAAAGAGCAUAUCAAACUUCCACCCAUGUUUGUAACUUUCUUUAACAGUCAUACAAUUAAAAAUCAAAUCCUCAUCAUUGUGUUGGAAGGUACCCUAAGAUACAAACAAACAAAAACAACUCUAAAACGAUUUUUUUUGGGUUUUUCAAAACUUUUUCUAUUUUUUUUCUUCAAAUUUUCGUAUUUUUCUUUCAAAACACACUAAAGCACUUCAAAACACACUAAAAACAUUUAAAAAUAGUGAGAAACAACUCUAGAAAUGCUAGGUGGUAAAAUCCUACGAAUUUCCAACAAAAACACUUGUUUACCCCCCCCACACUUAAACCAAACAUUGUCCUCAAUGUUUUAAACAUAAACUCACACAUAAGCAAACAAACAACACAACUAACAAACAUGACAAUUAUGGCAAAGAAAAAGUAAUAAAGAGUAAAGUUGAAGAACGCAAAUCUGGUUAUGGAGCUGAAGAUUCAUAGGUCUUCUUUAUUUGAACGCAUGGGUUGUCUCCCAAGAAGCACUUGCUUUAACAACCAGUUGAAUGAUACCUCCUUUUUAAGUUUUAUUGGAAACCACGGCAUGGAAGGGUAUUUCCUCCACAACCUGCCCCUCGAAACACUUCAUACUUUGGAUCUUUGAAUGGAAAACGAUAGUGAUCCUUCUUGCUUGUGGUAUUUUGCUUCUGCCCACCACCUUGAAUUCGAUUAGGUACCUGCACUAAAGAAGGUAACAACCUAUUAUUUGAAAUGGGAAUUGGAAUUGGAAUAGGUUGCUCACCAAUGUGCUGCGAUGAAGUGGCAACACAGUCAACAGAUGCACAAGGGGUGCUCUCGGCCAGAUUUGACGGUUUGUGUUCCUUGCGCUUUACUCCAAUUUCCUCUUCGUUGGUGGUUCAAAAUUCAUAUUUCUUAAUUGGUGCUGAACUUUCCUGCCCUAUAUUUUUAAUUACAUCAAUGGCAAAAAAAGGACGAACAUCAUUAGGAUUCUUAAUAGAUUAAGAAACUUUAAAGUUGAUCAUAUCACCACCAAACUCCGUAGUUAAGGCUCCCUUGGCCACGUCAAUCUUGGUGUGGGCUGUUUUCAUGAAAGGUCAUCCAAGUAAGAUUGGCAAUGGUGGAGAGUGGGCUGAGUCCUCCAUGUCAAACACAUAGAAAUCUGAAAGAAAAAUCAAGUGGUCUACAUGCACCAAAACAUCUUCCAAAACUCAUUUCGAAUAUGCAGUAGAACGAUCAGCUAAGUGGAUAAUAACUUCAUCAGUUUUAAGCUCUCCUAGAUUCAUAGAUGCAUAAACGGAAUAUGGCAUCACAUUAAUGGAAGCACCUAAAUCUAGCAUAGCAUGUUCAAACCUUGUAUUACCAAUUACACAAGGGAUAGUGAAACUACCUGGAUCUUUGCAUUUAGGUGGUAGCUUUCUUUGCAACAUUGUAGAGACAUUCUCACUUACAUGUACCACCUCCAUCUCCGAAAUCCGUUUCCUUGUUGUACAAAGCUUCUUCAAAAACUUAGCAUACUUUGGAAUUUGCUUUAUUGCAUCAAGGAGUGGGAUAUUGAAUUGCACCUUCCUAAAAGUCUCUAAGAUGCCUUUUUCAUCAUCUUUGGUCCUGACUAGCAUAAAUCUGCGAGGGAAAGGUGCAUUGGGUGGAAUAGGGUUAGAAUAAGUCAAAUUUGGAACAACCUUACCUGUGGUGGAUGACUUAUAAGCUGUAGGGGGCUGCGGCAAGGGUUUUUCUACCCUUGCCGUGGGCUUUGUUUCCUGUUCUUCUUUUUGCAGCAUCUUUUCAUCCUCGUUAAGGCCUUGUUUGGAUGGUUUUGGGUGAUUUCCAAGCUCCUUGCCACUUCUCAACGUAAUGGCCUUGGCGGUUUCAAAGCAUUCCUUGGAUUCACAAUGGUUGAACUAGGAAGUUUGCCUUGUUCACUAAACUGCCCAAGGAACUCUGAAAUCUGCCCUAUUUGCUUCUUCAUGUCACUCAUCUCCUUGUCUUGAUUUGCUAUUCCAUUAUUUUGAUUUUGUAAUCCUUGCGAUACAGAAGUUAGUAAUUGAAUAGCUUGAUCAUUAUCAAAUAGCAAACCUGAGUUUGGUUGAGCUGUUUUUUAUUGAGGUUGAGAUUGUGCGAAUGGCCUUUGAUAUAUCCCAAGCGGUGGUUGUCGAAAUCCUCCUUGUUAAGGUUGUUGAAGCUCCCUCAACUUGAAAUUUGGGUGAUCUCGCCAUCUCAGAUUGUAUGUAUUUGAGUAUGGAUCAUUCCUUUGCUUAUUUUGGCCUUGAUAACCUAUGGCAUUGGCAUUUUCCCAUCCUCCAUUCUCUAUCAAUUGAGGACAUUGAUCAUUGAGAUGUCCUUGCAUAGAGCAUACACCACAAACUGCCGCACCUUGCAUUUUGGUUCCAUAAAAAACCUGUGACACAAGAACAGUGAGAUUAGCCAAUUGGGAUUGAAUUUCAGAAAUUGUACUUACCUCAUUCACUUGUUGAUGCCGUGGGGGGUCUCUUCCUCCAACUCCUUCAUAUUGUUGUGCAUUCAAGGCUCGAUUUGCAAUUAAGAUCUUUCCAGCGACUGGAGUCUUGUUAACCAAAGCAUCUCCCACUGAAGCAUCAAGCAUUUGUUUCUCAAUUGGAAGAAGUCUUUCGUAAAAAUAUUGAAUUAAAAGCUCCUCUUUCAUCUGAUGUGGGCAAGAUGCAACUAACGUCUUGAAACGCUCAUAAUAUGUUGGAAACGAUUCUCCUUGGUUUUGUUGAAUGCCACAAAUUUUCUUCCUCAAAAGAAUGACUCUUGAAGUUGGGAAGAAUUUAUCUCAGAACGCUCUCUUCAUGCUUUCCCAAGAAGUGACGGUUCCAGGUGCUAAUUCGUAAAACCAAUCUUCAGCCUUGUCCAUAAGAGAGAAUGGAAAGGCUUUCUCUUCAUGCCACUAAUUUUCUUCUUUCAAAUGCUUGUUUGGAUCUUCCAUGGACAGCCCAUGGUAUUUGGGAAUGUGAUGCAGUAAACUAGACUUCAAUUCAAACUCAUCGGUCUUGCCUUGGGCUGUUAUAGGGUAUUGAAUGCAAAGGGGCACAACAUUGUCCAAUCCCAAGGCUGAAAGUUCCUUGAUUGUUUGAUUGUCAACAUUCAUGUCUUGCUUCUCUAGUACCUAAAAUCAAAGAAAGAGAACUAAAUCAAAUAUCAAAAGUAAAGUAAAAAAAAAAAACAGAUGGAUUAGCAAUUUUACUAAUCCCCGGCAACGACGCCAAAAUUUGAUGUGAAAUAUUCUAACACUCAAAUUAAAACCUUAUGAUUGUAGUAUAUGAAAGUUGGGAUCGUUUUAGGCCGAGGAUUAGAAGGGCUGCUAAUCUACACAAAUUAAACUCUAAAACACUAAACUAGACUCCAAAACACAAAACUAGACUCUUAUGACUCAAAACUGACUCAAACUACUUAAAACAACACAAAAAAAGCAAAAUGACUCCAAACUAACACUAAGGAUGACUUUGGACGAAAAUUGAUUUUAACUUGACUCGAAACACUUAAAAACACAAAUUGGACAGAUUCUAACUAACUUGACACAACAAAGUAAAGGGGAUUGUGUUUUUUAUGAAUUUAAAGUAAAACUAACAGAUUUAAGAAUCUAAAUAACUUUGGACGAAAUUGGUGAUUUAAUGGGUGAAUGGCUAGCUAAAGGGUUCUUCUCCACACAUGACACACUUGCAUACAAAUCGAUUUCUAGUUUCUUUCCCAAUAAACCAUGAACCUCAAUGCCCUAGAUUAACCGUGAACAACACUAAUUAACCCUCAAAUUUUCGUUAAGUCAUUGAAUUGGAUGGACAACGCAUCGGCAACUAAAUUAUUCUUCAAUACUUCCCUACAUGAACAACAUAAUAGAGAUACAAUUAAAGAUCAUUAAGCUUUGUGAAAAUCAUAAGCAUUGACAAGGCAUUCGUAACUAUGACAGCAUGAUACUCCUGCCAGGAAUUCACUUAACACGAUUGUGACUAGCAACCUUCACUACUUGUGAAUAUAAGUUUAUACCUAUUAGGUGAAAUUCCUUUAUAUUCUAGCAUCAAAUCCCUGCAUGCAAACUAAGUGUGCACCCUUAAUCAGCAAACAAGAAUAAGUUUUGAAUCAAACAGUUAAGUAAAUUGCAUUCACGAUUCAUGAAAUCACAACUGGAAGUAAUCAAUUCAUAUCGCAAAUAUGUUCAUGGCUUUGAAUUUCCCCUAGCUAAAACGAGUUUAGCUCCUCAUGUUUGCAAUUAAACAAAGACAAUUAAAUUUAAACAUUGAAAAAAAAAGAUAGAAUACACCUAGAAACAUUCCAACAAUCCAACGUCUUGAAUGGCAAGCACGGCUCCAGGGUCUCCUUUCCAUUCUCCUUGCAAAGAUGUGACAAUAGAGGGAUGAAUGUGUAUGAUGGAUGAAGGGGACGAAUUUGUGAUGGAAGGUGGUUAAUUUCUGAGUGUUGCGGCACUUUAUAUUUAUAGGGAGAAUGUAAGGCACGGCUAGGGUGAGUAGGAAGAGAAUUAGGAUUCCAAAUCAUCAAGGAAUAAGGAUACUUCUAAUCAGAUUCCAGGAAGGAAAAGAAUUAAUGUGUUUAGAUGGAUUUGGACUCCUAAAUUCUUAUGGGAAGGAUUUAGAAUAGGAUAAGGACUCCUUUUGCAGCUAGAGAUAAGGUAGGAUAAGAUUAGGAAAUGUUAAGAUAAUGUUAGUUUGGAUAAGGUUUUGGAUAAUGUUCGUUCUUUUUUUGCUGAUUCCUUAUCUUCUUUGACUUGAAUUCAUUCUUCCAAAUUUGUAGUACAUUCCUAGCCUAUUAAACUUCAAAAACGUCCAUCCACCUUGCUCCACUCAUGUGCUAUCCAUUCUUGUCCCAAAACUGCUCCAAAAUGGUCAAAAUUGCAGUUUCUUGCCAACUUUGUCAUUUGAAUAUGAAAACACACGAAAAUAGCAUAAAACACUAUAAUAAGUAAGAACUAACAACAUAAAUGCAAGAAAACAAGCUAACUAAGUCGCCUCCUAUCACGUUCAUGGUUGUGAGUGUGUAGCUACCCUUGUCGCCUACUCUACUGAUCUUGUAUGGACCUUCCUAGAUGGGAUCCAUCUUUUGGGGCCUUCUAUGCGGGCAGUGAUGAAGGCUUUUCGUAGGACUAGAUCUCCAGGCUAGAACUGCCAGGUCUUGGCCCUUUUAUUGUAGCUGGAGAGGAGCUGCUGGUGGUAAGUUAUGAUGCGAGUGAUGACCUUCUUGCAUUUCUCCUCUGCCAGAUCUAAGUUUGUGGCCAUCUAUUUUUUGUUUUGCUCAAUGCUUGGUAGUACAGUGCUGAUACUUAGCACGAUGACAUUGGUGGGAAUGAUUACUUCUGAACCAAAUAUCAAAGAGAAAUGAGUAUCAUCAGUUGCUCGUCGUUUGGUGGUGCGAUAUGCCCAUAUACAUCCGGGGAGUUCGUCUGGCCACUUUCCCUUCUUGUCGGUGAAGGAUUUCUUGAGGCAGUCGAGGAUCGUCUUAUUGGAUGCUUAGUCUUGGCCAUUGCCUUGAGGAUAUCUCAGCGUGGACAUGUGCUGGUUGAUACCAUACUUUUGGAAGAAUUUCGUGAAAUUUUUGCCCACGAAUUGUGGGCCAUUGUCGAUGAUGAUGGAUUGAGGGAUGCCAAAUCGACAAAUGAUGUUCCUCUACAUGAAGUGUUUUAUGUCCAUCUGAGUUGUGGUUAUCAUGGGCUUUGCUUUUACUUAUUUGGUGAAAUAAUCAGUUGCCACGAUCAUCAUGCCUUUGCCUCAAGUAGCAGGCAACAUUGGCCUUACCAGGUCGAUUACCCAUUGCAUGAACGGCUAAGGACUCGUUUGCGGGUAUAGUUCGCUGGCAGGCAGUGCUGGUACCGGCUUGUAACGUUGGCAACGGUCGUACUUUUGUACUAAUUCCUUAGCAUCUUGGUGCAUGGUAGGCUAAUAGUAACCUACGUUAAGGGCCUUUUGCACUAAGGAUUGGCCUCCGAAGUGAUUUCCACAAACAUCUUUGUGGAUUGAGCUUAGAACUUUUAGGUCAUCGGGAGGUGCUAGGCAGCGGAGACGUGGUCUAGUGUAGAAUUUUCGAAUGAGAAUGAUGUUCCACAUGUGGUCUAGUGUAGAAUUUUCGAAUGAGAAUGAUGUUCCACAUGUAGUAGCAUAUUGUCUUUAUUUGGAGCUUUCUAAACUCCAACUUUUUCGUGGGGAAUGUGCCAUUGACCAGGUAGUUUAUAAUAGAACUUUGCCAGUUAGGCGUUAUACUACCUUGUGACACUUCAGCUGCCGGUUCUGCCUCUAUGCUUGGCUUGUGUAGAUACUCCACCGGAAUAGAGGAUUUGAAUUGGUGAUCGAGGGUGGAGCUUAGGUUGACUAGCACAUCCGAGUGGGCGUUGUCUACCUGCGGAACAUGAGUGAGGGUGUAAGUAUGAAACACCUUAAGUUGUUUUCGUAAUGAAUUGCAAGCUUUUUUACUGCCAAGUCUUUUGCCAUUCGGAGGUCUGCUAGUAGGGCUUUUGUUGGAAAUGUGCCCUAAAACCAAUCAUAUGAUGAUACUUUACGGACAUUUCACAAGUUAAACUAAUGUAGUUUAAAUAUAAAGGGCAAAAAUUAUUGUUUUAAGCCGUCUCAUAUAAAUGUUAUAUGCUUAAACGAUAAGUCCAAGGAAUAUGUGAUUGGGAGAAUGCAAUCUAAAGAAGUUAGAUUCAUGAGACCAUUCUUUCGUAUACAUAUCCUAAACGUUCCUGAUCAUAGGAUUGCCAAUUGGGCAUUGACAGUCCGUUAAGAUCACUACGUGCUGUGUCUUCUCUCAGGGAGAGUGACUAGUCUCAAGUCAUUGGUGUGUGUGACAUCAAGACAAGUACGUAGGUGCUCAAUAGAGAAUGAGUUCACUGAACACGAUCAACGAAGAGUUCUCAUAUUCAUGUCACAUGAGAACUCAUGGUUGCGAUAAUGCAAAGUAGUCCUUUGACCUGAGGUAUCAUAGUUGUCUUGUGGUUAAGUCCUUGAUCUUUGAUUAUGUCAAAAGUCACUCCAAAAUGAGGGUGUCCAUGGCAUAGUUGGGGUUAAGCCACUUAGCCAUGGAGGCAAGUGAAUGCGCAACAAGGGAUCUCUAACCUUCAAACUAUUUGAGGGAGAAUACUCUAUGAUAUGAUUAAGAAUCUCUGGCCAGAGUAUGAAUGAGAUUUAGGAAGUCGUUCCAAAUCACAUUCAAGGUAAUCAUAUAAGCACACGAAUCACAUUGGAUAGUAGACAUGAAUAAACUAUCAAACCAAACAAUGUGGUUAAGAGUAUUGUAUUAGAGAAAGACCGUAUUGCAUUUGUAAUCCUAAACUGAAUAGGUUCUCCACCUCUUCUGAUUAGCUUGGGUAACCAUGAUAUGCUGCUGGGUGUCACUCAUGGUUGUGGAAGCCCUAAACGUGUAUAAUCACUAAAGGGAGAAUUGAAAGUAAGUUUCAAUUCAGAAUCGAUUUGAAAUGGUUUUAAUCGCCCACUGCCUUGCUAAAAGGAACCUAAUGGAUCGUACACCGUGUAAGGUGGAGAUUGAAGAAACAAUGGAGAUGAGUAAGAAUAAUUAAAUGGUUUAAUUGUUUAUGGCAAGGAUUAAUUAAUAUGUUAAUUAAUCAAACGAACAAGUUCGUUAAAAACCUCGGGAUAGUUUUGGACCUUAAGGCCCAAUGGGCUUCGAACGUCAAGCCCAUUGACUUAAGUUGUAUGACAAUUUAAUGAAUAAAGAUUCACAAGGGCCCAAAAGCCCAAAUCCCUUUUGUGGCCGGCCAUUUGAUAUGAAUUACGGUUUUUUGGUUCUUUAGGUCACUUAAAGAAGUGACUAUAUAAAGAACUUUAUAGCCAAAAUUCAUUAAGGGGUUUCUUUUUAAGAAAUUGGAGAGAACACAAAGCUCUCUUUUCUCUCUAAAGAAGCCGGCCCCCUUGGAGGGGAUUAGCUAGUAAUCUUUCUCCUCCAAGGUCACUCAUUUCUUCAUCAAUCUUACCUUGGUGUGGAGACUUAGAGGUUCUCAAUUUUGGGAACUUGGAGAACCAUUUCAUCCAUCCAAAUCCAUAGAUCUAAGAUGCAAGGAAUGAAGGCCCUCUCUUUGGGUGAUUAGCCUUUGCUUAUGCAAAGAGGAAUCUACAAAGGUAUAAUUUCUCAACUCACUUUGUUUUGAGUUGAGUCUUGGUUCACCAAUCUACUAGGCUUUGAAUUUCUUGGGUAAUGUUUUGUUUUUGAGUGCAUGCAAGCAUGAUUCCGCCUUUAAUUGUUAAUUGCAUGCUACAUGAUGUUGCUCAAAUGAACAUGUUUUCACAAAAUCAUCCCUUCAAGUGGUAUCAGAGCCUAGGUCUAGUAGUUGGUGAAUCCUUUUGGGUUUUGUAGUUCAUAGUUUGUGAUUUAAAGUUGUAAUAUGUUACAAGCUUUAUUCUUGUUUCUUUGAAUGUAAAUUUUGUUAGAAAAUUUGCCAUCUCAAAUGUUGUAGAUGUAGUUCUUAUGAGCAUGAAUAUUGGAGCUAAAAUUUGGUGCCAUGCUUUUGGGAAAAUUCGGCCAAAUCCAAAGGGUGGAUUUUUGGGUUCUUGUUUGACUUGUUAAAAGUGUUUUCAAGUGACUUUUGGAACCCCUAUGUACCCUAGUAUGGUUAUAUGUUAUUUCCCUUAAGUUUGAGUGGUUUUGGGAUUUCUUUGGAUGAGAAAUGUUCAUGGAGCUCUUAUGGGUUUUUCAUGAAUGUUCUUCAUUGUUCUUGACAUUUUAGCCAAGAACAAAAAGUUUGGUGUUUUGAUUCAAAGUUUUGAUUCAAAGUUUUGAUUUAUUUCAUAAAGUCUUUGUUUUGUGCUUUAUCAAAUGUUUUAAUGUGAUUGAAAUUGUGUAAGGUGAUAGAAAUGGUGAUGGGUGUGUAAGAAGUUCUUCUCUUACACACACAUCACUUGCAUGAAUUUAUGUCACAAACCACUUGCAAGGCUUUAUGACUUAGUUGAAAAAAAUUCCAAAUUUUGUGGCUUCAAUUUUUUCCCUCCCUCUCUCCUAAAACCGGCCACCCUAUUAAAAUAGGGUAAUUUUGGGGCUUUUAUGCAAUUACAUAAAGUUUUGAUACUUUUGUGUUUUUGCACUUUGACCCAAAAGUUUACAUAUUUACGUAAAGGCCCAAAAUCAUUAAAGGACAAAUUGUUUUGUUCCUUUAAUGAAGUUUUUGAAUUUGUUGAAAUUUUUGGGUUCUAGUUGUAAUUACAUGAAGUAGUGAACUUUUGUGUUUUUACAAAGUGAGCUCAAAAGUUUAAGUUUUGCAACAUAGCCCAAAGGUUGAGGUUAUUGCAUUUUGGCCCAAAUUAGGUUGAGAACAAAAUGGUUUUGUCUCUUUAAAUGAGAAUUGGAUUUUCAUUUCAUUUAGCUCCAUUUAAAUCAAUUUUAUGGAUACAAAAACCAAAUGAAAAUGUUGCAUUCAAUUUAAUUAGUUAAAGCGUUAAUUGUUAAAGGGUGAUUAUGAACCUAAGCCUACGAUAAUUGAGCUAUAUGAAAGGCCGUUUCAAAUUUGUUUGAACCAUGGGAAUGUGUAGAUUAGAUUUUGGUUGUAAUUUGAUUUGAUCAAAUGUUGUAAAAGAGAUUAAGCUCUUCUUUACUUUAAAGUAAUUUGAAUCAUUCAAAUGUUGUAAAGAGCAUAAGCUCAUCUUUACUUUGAAGUACUUCUUUCUUGCUUUAUUUGAUAUGCAAGAAAUUGGAGUAGUUGGGUCCAACGCCCCUAGGAACAACACGCCUUAAUGUGAUUAAACGCGUAACUAAAAUCAAUCACCAUCCCUAGACCGAGAUUCAACACUAGGCUCAUGUUGAAUCUAAACAAAGGUUCAUAGUCAUCCUAAGGCCCUAAGACAACUAUAUAGUCCAUCAAAUGAAUGCAAAGUUUAUGUUAGUAGUAUCAUAUACUCUUGCUUUAAAAACCAUUUUAUAAGCAUAGUGGGAGUAUUAUAUACAACUAAAACAAUCAAAUGGACCAAUAGUUGUAAUAGGACCAAAAUUGUUUUAAUAAAGAUUAAAAUGAAUAUUUAUAUGUGAUGACACCUAAAAACCCUCAACCAAACCAUUAUUAAGUUGAUAAGCGUGAGAGUGCUUUGAACACUCUUUC